AGCGCCAGGAAAGUCGUCAAUAUCCAAUAACUCUCCAGUAACAUCUGAAUCCUCAAACGAAAAGGUUGCUGCUCAACCGAGUAUUUUCAACCCAAUACCAUUACCGCCAAACCCCUUGCUCCCACCACCUUCCUUGUUUCCUCCAAUUCCGAAUCCAUUUCAGCCUCCACCUUCAAUACUUCCUCCAGUCAUUCCAUCACCUCCACCUUCAAUUUUCCCCCCAAUAUUUCCUUCACCUCCACCUUCCAUAUUCCCUCCCAUUUUUCCUUCCCCUCCUACACCUCCACCUUCCAUAUUCCCUCCCAUUUUUCCUUCCCCUCCUGCACCUCCACGUUCACUAUUUCCGCCACUUGUUCCUUUGCCAGGUUUAACUCCCUCUCCUCCACCACCGCCACCACCAUCCUUUCCUCUCCCUCCAUUUCCAUUCCAACCAGUUCCUGGCCUCCCUGGACCUGGAGUGCCUCCUGCAGUCCCUUCAUCUUCUGAUUCAGAGAAAAGCUCUCCUUAAUUAAUCUAAAUGUAACAGCAAUUUUACAUCCUCUUUUUUUUUUUUUUGGGUUCUUAUAUAUUUACUUGUUUUCUUUCCCUUUUGCAACGUUAAAAUGAUGUUCUGAUAAUCCUAGUUGGGCAGAUGUAUAAAGCCAUCAGUUUCUAUAUGAACUCUGACUACUGUAACUGAAAUAAAGGUAUACGAUUUUAGAUAACCUUUUUUUUGGGGGGUGGGGGGGUGAUUUUAUCCUGGUUCCUGGCUGCUGAACUCAAGAUGAUUUCUGUUUGCACUAGAAUAUCGCACACGUAUGUAUUUUCCCAUUUUAGUUUGCAUCGUGCAGAAUGUCUAGGCGAAUUAUACUAGCUGAUGAUUAACGUACCAAACAUUGGCCCUGUGAAUUUUAAUGUCUGAGACUGAAAUUCCAAAACUUUCUGCGUGAAAUCAUGUUCAAAAUGGUAUCGAGCCUGCUAUAAUCACUUGGCAGAAAACUGAUGCCAGGGGCGAAUGCUGUUGAAAUACUCCCUGCGUUUCUUUGUACGCAAAGACGGAGAGAAGAUUAUGAGUAUAAUCCACAAACUCCAUCCUAAGUUGCCACAAAAGUACUUGAAUGUAAUCAAAGCAUGAAUGACAUACAUCUUAGCGAAGACAAGCACCGAUAUGGUGAUUCAAGAACCUGUGGUAAAUUCUUGAGCUAUGGGCAUCAAUUUGAUAAUAUUGACAAUUUGCUGCACAUAUAAGAUUUUCUAGGCUUCGCUUUGCUGGUGAAAAACAUUCUCUGCAUAGGAAAUGAACAGGAGCUGAUAAAAGAACAAUAAAAAUAAAAUCAAACAAAGAAAUGUUUUCAUUCAUCGUUACAAUUUGAUAUCUUCUAUUGCGAGCAUUUUAGUCUGCAAUUGCAUUUUUAGUUGGGAUGACAUUUUAUUAUAUCUCCUAGAAGAGUUUAAUUAGUCUUCUCAUCAUGAAAUACAUAUUAAAUGAAAACUCGAUCUUUUUAUUUAUUUAUUUUUUACUACAGAGUAAUUUUUUCCAAAAUAAAAAAAUAUACAGUCCAAAAAUAUACUGCUACCACGAAACUUUUUUUUUUUUUUGGCUUUUCUAUUUUGAAGGGGAAUAUUCCAGACUGACUUGCAGAUUAAGCAAAAUGCUUACGCAUGCUCUUCCACGAGACUCGUGUAUGUGUCUGAUUUCUUUCCCAAACCGCCUAACAUACAUCGUUGUCACCACGCUGGGUAUAAGAACCUGGUGAAAGGGGAAAAAAAAAAAAAAUCAAGGGACCAAAAGAAUUUGGUAGUAGGAGUAAAACUAUAAAGGACUAUUUCAAUUCCUUUUCCUCGCUAAACCCUUGCCACUUAAAUCAUCAUUUCUUCCUCUCCAGUCUCGUAAAUAUUUCUGAUUUCUUCCUUCCUGUUUCCCUCACCGGCGACGAGAGCUCUCUGCUUUCCCACAGCAUUUACAUUUCUCUAAUGCACUGAUCGCUUGCUUUCCGCGUCGGAGUCAUGGCCGACCAGGAGAUCGCCAAACUCAUCGAUGCUCUUUCGUCAUUAUCGUCCUCGUUCAGCGAUGAUAAUUUCUCUAAGAGACUUGGCACCGAUUCCUCGCUCAAGUUAGGGCUCCAGAAACUUUACUCAAUUCUCAAGUACUCUGUUUCUCCGAUCGCCGCCGUCGCUGACGGUCGUGAUAAGAAGCGAGGACUUGAAUUUUUGGAGCAGUCUCAAAUCCAAGCUGUUGCUUCUUUGGCAACCGCAGUAGUCAUCGCCACUCGAUCCCUCUCAGGUUCUCUAGCUUAUUUAAUUUCAUUCCUUGUGCUCAAAGUCCAGCUUAUGUGCGAAGCUGUACAACUUUUUUUCCUUUUUAAAGACAAUUGGAGGUUAUAUUUCUUGUUCUGGUAAUAUGUGGCAGUGGAGCAUGUGGAACCCGUAAUUGUGGCUGUGGUGCAGAAGUCGGUGGAAUUUGCUUUGUGUUUCUUGGACAAAUCAGUUUCUGGCAAUGAAGAUUUGAGUCUUCAGGUUUAUCUUUUUUUCCCUUCUUGAAAAUUCGUGUGGGUGCCAUCUGCGAACAUCAUUAUGUUCUUUUAUUGGAUUUGUUGUUCUGUUCAUUAUGGUGAAGUUUGCUUGAUACUUGAAAUUGAUACAUGAAGUAGAGUACAAAAUGUCAUCUCGUCCUUUUCAUUGCAUUUUGUCGUAUUGAUGAUUGACAGCAAAAUUAGAGUUUAGUACCUUUUAGGUGGCUGGCCUUUCUCCAAACCAUGAACUAUUACCGACUCUAAACUUUCUGCCAAAUGUUGAUAAAAUGUCCAUUUCAUGUCAAAUGGACAUUGAAAGAUCAGUGAAUUCAAGUAUAUCUGAGAAAGGAAGCUCAGAAACCCUGUACGUGCUGCUGUGUUCAAUUAUGCACAGGCUUUCUGCCAUGCUCAUUCAAAUACAUCCUUCUAAUAUACUUGCCUGGGAACAUCUGCAUCUAAAUGUGUGUAUGGCUGUAUGUCUGUGAAAUAUGUAAAAUUUUCAUCUCUAACUCCUGUAUUUUGUCUCAGAAUAAUUUGGUCCAGCUGUUAGAAAUAGCACUUAAUGAUCGAGUGGAUAAAGAAUUGGAUCUGCCACAGCCAUACGCAUCAAGUAUACUUGUUGACUUGAUUCCAUUUGUAGCUGUUGAAGAUGAUAGCAUUCAAGUGCAGGACUACGUCAAGUGCAUGCUUCAAGGUAUUUAUAAAUCCGUAGGUUUUUAAGGAAGGAUCAGAACCGGCACUUGUUGAUUUAUUUAUUUAUUGGUUUAUGUACUUUGAAUUUCUAACACGUGUUUUUCUUGCUUGAAGGGGGAAGGUGCUCAGUUGAAGAAAAAGCUGUUGACCAUCUUCUAAUGACAUUGGCAUCUGAAGAGUUGCAAUCUGAUGAUUUGAAUCAAUUGUCUAUUGGACUGUCAUUUCGGCAUGAUUUCAUGAAGUUAAAUGCUCUAUCUCGUCAUCAAGCACUGGUUCAUUUGGAAUGCAUGCCACGUCUUGUUUUCCUUUGCAGAGGGCUUUUGGGACUUCAGGAUCUGUUGGAUGAGAAGAUAGCCAGUGCAGAUCUGCGAAAGAGAAUGUCUUUUUGUGCCAGGAUAUUCAAGUUACUAGGAUAUCUUGCAAAAGGCAAUCCAUAUGUUAAAGUUGAUGUAGCGUUAUUGCAAUCUUUUGCUUCUUUUGCUGACAUUUUACCUAAAGUGUUUGGAAUCGGCUUUGAGUUUGUGAACAAUGCUACUGGUGAAGGUAGCUUUGACAGUCUGACAAUAUUGUUAAUGGAAGAGUUUCUUCAACUUGUACAGGCAGUAUUCCACAGUAGUAAUGUACUUCAGAACGUUCAAGCAUGCAUUACAGCAUCAAUCUUGGACCACUUGGAUUCAAGUGUGUGGCAGUAUAACAAGUCUACUAGUAACCUUAAGCCUCCUCUGGUGUACUUCCCACGGGUGGUGAUUCAUGUGAUCAAACUGAUAAUGGUUGUGAGGAAGUCUUCGUAUUCUGUAUUUCAGCUUAAGGACGAUGGUACAAAACAUGAUGGGCAUCCUGAUGGUUUUGACAUGAAUUCUCCAGCAUGCCAAGUUCGUAGUGAGAAGAUCUAUCUAUUGAAGAAAUACACAGCUGAGGAGCUGUUGACUAGAAUUUUUCCACCUUCAGGUCAGUGGGUGGAUAAUCUGGUUAACCUUGUUUUCUUUCUUCAUUCUGAGGGUGUCAAAUUAAGGCCCAAAUUGGAGCGGUCGUGUUCCACUUCUAUAAAAGCAUCAAAUGAACCAGAAAAUGCUGUGUGUCAUGAAGAUGAUGCUCUAUUUGGGGACCUUUUCUCAGAAAGCGGUCGCUCUGUGGGAUCUGUGGAUGGUCUAGAUCAAACCGCACCUGCAGCCAGUUCGCUUUCCAACUUCAGCAAUAUGCCAAUUCAAGCUGCUAUGGAGCUGCUCAGCUUUUUGAAAAAUGAUGUUUUGUCACCUAACUGGAGUCCAGGAGUGUAUGAGGAUGGUUGCAGAAAGCUUACUUGUGAGCAUAUGGGUAUUCUGCUGUCGAUAAUGAAUCAUCAGGGCUAUUCUUCUGAAGAGAGGACUCUUGGUUCAUGUGUUACACUGGAUGAACAGAAGAAGCUUGAGCAGAUGCCUGAGCUUUGCUUUGAACUGUUUAACAGCUUACUUUCCCAGCAUUCUUUGUCUGCCGUCGUUGAGGAGUCACUUAUUGAGAAAAUACUGGCCAUUGAGAAUGGUAGUUUUGUCUAUAAUGAUCAGACCCUUGCCUUGCUUGCACAUGCCCUCAUCUCACAGGUGGAUUCUGUUGGUUGUCACCUAAGGGACAAGAUAUAUCAGACAUUUAUCAAUUUUGUUCUUGAGAAGGCAAAAACAAUCUGUUCUAGCUGCCCUAGUCUUCAAGAAUUUCUCAAGACCCUUCCAUCUGUGUUUCACAUUGAGAUCCUUCUAAUGGCAUUUCAUUUAUCUUCCACUGAUGAGAAGGCUGCUCAAGUGAAUGCCAUUUUCUCUUCACUGAGAACUGUUGAUGCUCCAUCUUCUGGUUGUGGCAGCGCGACACUAUCAUGCUGGGCUCUAUUCGUUUCGCGGUUGGUUUUAGUGCUUCGCCACAUGUUGUAUUGUCCUCAUGGUUGUCCGUCGUCAUUGCUUUCAGUCUUCAGAUCAAAGCUGAGGGAGGCCUCUCACAGAAGAGCCAAUUCUUUGAGUAAUACAACUAAUUUAUCAUCUUGGACACCUAUGAUAUUGGAGAAUGUGACUGGUGUGUGGAUCAAAGAAGCACCUGUGAACAAGAUUUUGCUAAAUCAAUUGAUUGAUAUUGCAACUCUCCCUGCUUCUGUAUUUGGGGAUGAUGCACCACCAGUUGACUGCUUAAAUAUGACAUGGGAUGAGUUAUCUGCCUCUCUGUCUUGGAUUUUGGGGUUUUGGAAAGGCAAAAAACCUGGAAAUGCUGAAGACCUAAUUGUUGAAAGAUACAUGUUUUUGCUUUGUUGGGAUGUUCCAAUAAUGGAAUCCACAUCAGAGCGCGUACUUUUGUUGAGGGGUUUAGAGCUUCCUCAUGUCUUGGAGAUAGAGCAUUUUCUUUACUUUAGCCAUUCAAUUUUAAGCAAUGCUGGUGCUCUCAGCAAGCAAGUCAAUAUUCCACAUGUGGUGAUGGGGUUGCUCCAGCAUUUGCAUACGUUGUGCAUAUCAGAUGAUCAUGGGGAAGGAGGCUGGGAUUUUUUACGGACAGGAUCAUGGCUCACUCUCAUGUCAUCCUUAGUUGGUGCUGGUAUUUGGCGAUACUCAAAGAAGAACUCCAUCACUUCAGGCGGUCCAAGCUGGGAAGAACUUACAUCUAAGGAUGUUGAAUUUCUUGCUUUAGCGGAGAGCUUCUUGUCUAGUUCUUUGGGUGAUGAUCAAAUAGCUACGCUAGUGAGAUUGUUCUCAUCAUUCCUGAAGAACUAUUUGAGAGCUUAUCAGAAGGCUUUCAGUUUGACCUUUGAUAAUGACUCCUCCUCUGCAGAUAGGUUUUCACCCCUAUUGCUCCUCAAACAUACUAGUUUUGAUAAAUCCAAACAAGUUGAGGUCCUUGAUAAAAUGGGUCAUGAUCCAUGCCAGCUGGAUAGUGUUUUUGAACUUCUGCCCAAGUUGGGUGAAACCGUUGACAAGAUGGCUGUAGGAUAUCGAUCUAAGGUCUUCUGGGAAGUUUCAUUGCAUGGGUUCCCAUGUCAUGCUCAGGCGUCUAGUGGAAUUCUUCUUUCUUGCAUUCUUAGCAUAAAAGGAAUUAUUGGUGUCCUAGAUGGGCUUCUGAAGGUCAAAGUUGCUAAAGGAACUGUUUUCACAGAGGUAUUAAUGUAAAAGUUUUAAACUUUUUUGUGGAUCUUUUAUCUGGAGAUAUGUGCCCUGAUGUCAAACAGAAACUGCAGCAGAAAUUUCUGGACAUGGACUUGCGAUGCCUGUCAAAAUGGCUUGAACAGAGGCUUCUAGGAUCUUGUUUGGAACCAUCCAGUGAGGUUACCUGUGCAAAAGGAACUUCAGUCUCCUUGAGAGAGUCAACCAUAAAUUUCAUUACAUGCAUUUUAUCCCCACCAUUUGAGUCGAAGUCUGAAGAACUGCACACGCAUUUAUUUGAAGCCAUGCUGGUUCCCCUUGAUAAUGCUUUCCUUCUAUUUGACUUUGGCAUAGCAAAGUCUUAUUUUAAUAUUAUGCUUCAACUUUCCAGAGGAAAGAUGUUAAUCAAGCCACUUUUGCAGCAUACCGCUAUGUUAUUGGGGAAACUGGGUGGUGAUGAACGUUUUCUUCAAGGAUUAAAGUACAUAGUUGGAUUUCUCGCAACUGUUUUGAGUGAAUGCGGGUCUGUCAAGAACUCAAACGAUAAAUCUUCUGGAAAAGUUCUACCUGGAGGCAGUUCUGUAGUGGGACCUGUAUCUCCUAGACCUCUUGGUUCUAGGAAAAAUUCAGAUGCUUUGGUCCUUUCUGUCAGUCAAGGAGCUGCGGCAGCUGUUGACUGUGAUGCUACUUCGGUUGAUGAGGAUGAGGAUGAUGGAACGUCUGAUGGGGAGGUGGGUAGUGUAGACAAAGAUGAUGAGGAGGAUAGCAACAGUGAAAGGGCACUUGCAUCUAAAGUUUGCACAUUUACAUCCAGUGGUAGUAAUUUCAUGGAACAGCACUGGUAUUUCUGUUACACGUGUGAUCUGACAGUCUCCAAAGGUUGCUGCUCCGUGUGUGCAAAAGUUUGUCACCGUGGUCACCGUGUGGUCUAUUCUCGCUCUAGUCGGUUUUUCUGUGACUGUGGGGCAGGGGGUGUCCGUGGGAGCAGCUGUUUAUGCUUAAAGCCCCGAAAAUUCACCAGAGGUCAUGAUUCACCCCGUCAUGGUGCGGAUGGUAACCUUCAAUCAUUUCUUCCUUUCCCUGAGAAUGGGGAUCAGCUACCUGAGAGUGAUUCAGAUGUUGAUGAAGAUGCUGUAGUGGAACAGGAUUACGCUGUUAAAUUGUCUAUUCCAAAAGAAGUUCAAGAUGGGAUGCCAGAAUUCCUUGUGGAGCUUGAUCUUGAAGACCAUGUUCUAGAACUUUGUUCAUCAUUGUUGCCUUCCAUAAUAGGCAGGAGGGACUCAAACCUCUCAAGAGAGAGAAGGAUUACCUUGGAUGAGGAUAAAGUGCUUUGUUGUAGUGCUGAAAUAUUGCAGUUGAAGAAGGCAUACAAGAGUGGAUCUUUGGACUUGAAGAUAAAGGCAGAUUACUCAAAUUCCAAGGAAUUGAAAUCCCAUUUAUCUAGUGGUUCUCUUGUCAAAUCCUUACUCAGUGUUAGUAGUCGAGGUCGACUUGCAGUGGGAGAAGGUGAUAAAGUAGCCAUAUUUGAUGUUGGGCAGCUGAUUGGACAAGCCACUGUUGCACCUGUGACGGCUGACAAGGCUAAUGUGAAGCCUCUUUCCAAGAAUGUUGUCCGCUUUGAGAUUGUGCAUAUUGUGUUUAAUUCAGUGGUAGACAAUUAUCUUGCUGUAGCAGGCUAUGAAGAUUGUCAAGUACUUACAGUAAAUCAUCGGGGGGAGGUGACUGAUCGCUUAGCCAUUGAACUUGCUCUGCAAGGUGCAUAUAUCAGGCGUGUAGACUGGGUACCAGGUUCUCAGGUUCAGCUAAUGGUGAUCACUAACAAAUUUGUGAAAAUAUUUGACUUGUCUCAGGACAAUAUUAGCCCCAUGCACUAUGUCACAUUGUCUGAUGACAUGAUUGUGGAUGCAACUCUUGUUAUGGCUUCUUUGGGACGACUGUUCCUCGUUGUCCUUUCAGAAAGUGGUUACUUGUACAGGUUAGAGUUGUCACUGAAAGGAAAUGUUGGGGUCAAAGUUUUGAAGGAAAUCAUUCAAACUGAAGGCAGAGAAAUUCAUUCCAAAGGCUUGUCUCUGUGCUAUUCAUCGUCUCAUAAGCUACUUUUUAUGUCUUAUCAAGAUGGAAGUACCUUGAUUGGUCGCCUGAAUCCAGAUGCAACAUCCGUAAUUGAAGUCUGUGCCUUACUUGACAGUGAACCAGAUGGUAAGCUCCGAGCAGCUGGAUUGCAUCAUUGGAAAGAGUUACAAUGUGGCAUUGGUCUGUUCUUCUGCUUUUCAAGUUUGAAAUCAAAUGCUGCUUUUGCUGUCUCAAUUUGUGAACAUGAAAUACAUGCUCAAAAUAUGCGGCAUGCGGUAGGUUCAACCUCUGCGUUGGUAGGGAUUACUGCUUACAAGCCCCUAUCAAAGGACAAGAUACACUGUCUUGUUUUACAUGAUGAUGGAAGCCUUCAGAUUUAUUGGCAUGUUCCUAUGGGGGUUGACAAUAGUGCAACUGCUACAUCUGAGAAGGUUAAAAAACUUGGUUCUGGCAUCCUUAACAAUAAAGCUUAUGGUGGUGUUAAACCAGAGUUCCCACUUGAUUUUUUUGAGAAAACAGUGGUGAUAACACCAGAUGUAAAGUUAAGUGGUGAUGCAAUCAGGAAUGGUGACUCUGAAGGAGCUAAACAAACAUUGGCAUCUGAAGAUGGAUUCUUGGAGGGUCCUAGUCCUUCUGCUUUUAAGGUAAUGUUGCCAUGUAAUUAAUUACUGCAGGUUUUGAUUAUUGAUGUCUGUUUUAUUGAAGUUUUAUCAGUUGGUUCCCUAACACUUCUGUAUGGGUUCCACAGAUUACUGUUGCUAAUUCGAACCCUGAUACUGUCGUGGUUGGGAUCCGUGUGCAUGUCGGUAAUACAUCAGCAAAUCAUAUUCCCUCUGAGAUUACUAUCUUUCAGAGAGUGAUAAAAUUAGAUGAAGGAAUGAGGUCUUGGUAUGAUAUACCAUUCACAGUGGCUGAAUCGCUUCUUGCUGAUGAAGAAUUUUCAAUCUCCAUUGGACCAACCUUCAAUGGAUCUGCUCUCCCACGGAUAGAUUCAUUGGAAGUUUAUGGUCGAGCUAAGGAUGAAUUUGGUUGGAAGGAGAAGAUGGAUGCAAUUUUAGACAUGGAAGCACGUGUGCUUGGCUCAAAUUCAUGGAUUUCAGAAUCCAGGAGGAAAUGCCGCACUACGCAAUCUGCUCCUCUUCCGGAGCAGGUAGUGUCUGACGGCCUCAAACUUCUGUCAAGGAUCUAUUCUUGCAAGUCACAGGAUAGUUUGAAAGUUCAAGAGGCUAAUUUGGAGCUGAAUAAACUGAAGUGCAAGAAGCUGUUGGAAACAAUAUUUGAAAGUGAUCGAGAGCCUUUACUACUGGCUUCUGCUGGGCGGGUCUUGCAGGCUUUGUUCCCCAAAAAAGAGGAGUAUCACCAAGUAAUUACCAAAACCAUACCUGUUCUGAGAAGCUUCUUUUGCUAGCAUUUUAGAGUUCGGUAAAUGAGAUUUGUAUGACAGUGUAAUAAACAUAUCCACCUAUUCCACUUGAUUGUUCAUAUUUAUUUACAGUAAAGGUAUCUGAUGAGGUCUGUUUUAGGUUAAGGACACAAUGCGGCUCUCUGGAGUAGUGAAAUCCACUUCCAUCCUUUCUUUGAAACUGGGGAUAGGUGGGAAUACAGCAGGGUGGAUUAUUGAGGAGUUUACAGCACAGAUGCGAGCAGUUUCUAAGAUUGCACUACAUCGUCGUUCAAACUUGGCUGCUUUCCUGGAGGCAAAUGGUAAUGCUAGAGUUACAAGGACUACCCUUCUUUGCUCAUGCAUGUUGCCUAUGCAUCGAUGACUUGUUGUAGACAUGUUGCAUUUUGGUUUGAUUUUAUAAUCUUGAUUUGCCCAUAUUACUUUGCCAACAAUCUUCAACAUACCCUCUUUGGUGCUCUUUCUGGUGCCGUAUCUUGUGGAUUUACAAUUCACUUCAAUAAUUGGGCAAGAAUCUAGUAUCCUUGGUUUCCACUGUUUGUCUCACUUUUUUGUGCCUGCCAAAUGGAUGUUCCUUGAGAAUAGAUUAUGCUGCUUGAUGUCUAGGCCAACAGUUGCAGAUUAUUUAACUAGACUUGGAUACAGAUGCAUGCACGUGUACACACACACACACACAAACGCAUUCUUGUGACAUUAUACACCAGAAAAGCUUAUUACUUCUUCUUUCCUAAGUUAGGCUCUGAAGUUGUUGAUGGGCUCAUGCAAGUGCUCUGGGGGAUUUUGGACAUGGAGCAUCCUGACACACAGACUAUGAAUAAUAUUGUUGUAUCUUCAGUAGAACUAAUAUAUUGUUAUGCUGAGUGUCUGGCACUGCAUGCAAAUGAUACUGGCACACAUGUUGUUGCUCCUGCUGUUUCAUUGUUUAAGGAACUCCUAUUCUCAAAAAAUGAGGCUGUUCAAACAUCAAGCAGGUAAAUUUAGUUCUGUUAAUCAGUUUUAAGGGAUAUUUUACUGUGUGCUAAUUUGUUUUGAAUUGUUGCUUUUGCCAGCCUGGCUAUAUCUUCAAGACUGCUCCAGGUUCCUUUUCCAAAGCAAACCAUGUUAGGUACAGAAGAUGUGUCUGAUAACGCAGCAGCUGUUCCUGCUCGAGUUGAUGGUACAAGUGCAGCAACAGGAAAUACUCACAUUAUGGUUGAAGAAGACAACAGUACGUCAUCCGUCCAGUACUGUUGUGAUGGCUGCUCUACUGUUCCUAUACUUCGGCGACGAUGGCACUGCACUGUUUGCCCUGACUUCGAUUUAUGUGAAGCAUGCUAUGAAGUGUUAGAUGCAGACCGGCUUCCACCACCUCAUUCAAGAGAUCAUCCUAUGACAGCAAUUCCAAUCGAAGUGGAAUCAUUGAGUGGAGAGGGCAAUGAAAUUCACUUUGGUACUGAUGAUUUGGCUGAUCCAAAUCUUUUACCAGUUUCAGCUGAUAUGAGUAUCCAGGGUGCUGCUCCAUCUAUCCAUGAGCUUGAACCCAGUGAAUCCACGGUGUUUACAGGUUCUGUAUUUGAUCCUGUUACCAUUUCCGCUUCGAAGAGGAUUGUGAACUCCUUAGUUCUUUCUGAGCUCCUUGAACAACUGAAGGGAUGGAUGGCAACUACCUUUGGAGUUCGGGCCAUUCCAAUCAUGCAACUCUUUUAUAGAUUAUCUUCAGCUAUGGGUGGACCUUUUGAUGAUGGCUCAGAGCCUGAAAAUGUAGAUUUGGAGAAGUUAGUUAAAUGGUUUUUGGAUGAGAUAAAUUUGAACCAACCUUUGGUGGCUAGAAGCCGUUCCUCAUUUGGUGAAGUUGUGAUCCUUGUCUUUAUGUUCUUUACACUUAUGCUUCGAAAUUGGAAUCAACCUGGAAGUGAUGGUUCUGCACUGAAAUUGAGCAGUACAGGAGAUGGACAUGACAAAAACUCUGUCCAGAUUCCACCUUUCUCUUUGGUCUCUGGUUCACCUGCUGUUGAAAGCCAUGAGAAAUUGGACUCUGUUUCGCAUCUAGUUCGAGCUUGUGGCUUACUUAGACAGCAAAGUUUUGUAAACUAUCUGAUGGAUAUUUUGCAGCAGCUGGUCCAUGUCUUCAAAUCCUCAUCUGUUAGUACUGACAGUUCUGUAGGGUUGAACUCUGGCUGUGGUUCUCUCUUAACCAUCCGAAGAGAACUACCUGCGGGUAAUUUCUCACCGUUCUUUUCAGAUGCAUAUGCCAAAUCACAUCGUACAGAUAUAUUUGCAGACUACCCAAGGCUAUUGCUGGAGAAUACGUUCCGGCUUGUUUACAGUCUGAUUCGACCAGAAAAGCAUGACAAGGGUGGAGAGAAAGACAAAUAUUUCAAGAUAUCUUCUUGUAAGGAUUUGAAGCUUGAAGGCUAUCAGGAUAUUUUGUGUAGUUACAUCAAUAAUCCACAUACAACAUUUGUCAGAAGAUAUGCAAGAAGGCUUUUUCUGCACCUAUGUGGUAGUAAAACACAUUACUACAGUGUCCGGGAUUCUUGGCAAGUUUCGAGUGAAGUGAAGAAGCUAUACAAACACGUAAAUAAAUCCGGUGGCUUUCAAAGUCCUAUCUCAUAUGAGAGAAGCGUCAAGAUAGUGAAAUGUCUGUCGACCAUGGCUGAAGUAGCUGCAGCACGCCCUCGUAACUGGCAGAAGUACUGUAUGAGACAUGCUGAUGUUUUACCCUUCCUUGUGCAGGGAAUUUUCUACUUUGGUGAAGAGUGUGUUGUCCAGACUUUGAAGCUAUUGAGUUUGGCCUUUUAUACAGGAAAGGAUGUUAACCAGUCUUUGCACAAAUCUGAAGGUGGGGAAGGAGGAACAAGCUCAAGUAAGCCUGGGUCACAACCCCUUGAUUCUAAAAAGAAGAAGAAAGGAGAAGAGGGAAAUGAACCUGGUUUGGAGAAGUCAUAUUUGGAUAUGGAACCAGUGGUGGAUGUCUUCACUGAGAAUGAUGGUGACACCUUGAGACAAUUUAUUGAUUUGUUUCUACUGGAGUGGAAUUCAAGUUCUGUACGUGUUGAAGCAAAGUGUGUUCUUAAUGGGAUUUGGCAUCAUGGAAAUCAUCCUUUCAAGGAAAAAUUCCUAACACUCCUCCUGCAGAAAGUCAAAUUUCUGCCGAUGUAUGGGCAGAACAUCAUUGAAUACACACAGCUGGUUACCUCAUUGCUAGGAAGGACUCCAGAUAGCAAUUCAAAGCAACAGAUGAAUGAAAUUAUAGACAGAUGCUUGACUCCUGAAGUGAUAAAGUGCAUGUUUGAGACACUUCGUUCACAGAAUGAGCUGUUGGCUAAUCACCCGAAUUCUCGAAUAUACAACACAUUAAGUGGUUUGGUGGAAUUUGAUGGAUACUAUCUGGAAAGUGAGCCUUGUGUAGCCUGCAGCUCUCCUGAGGUGCCCUACAGCAGGAUGAAGCUAGAAAGUUUGAAGUCAGAAACAAAGUUCACAGACAAUCGCAUUAUUGUGAAAUGUACUGGCAGCUACACCAUUCAGAGUGUUACCAUGAAUGUCCAUGAUGCUCGCAAGUCCAAAUCAGUUAAAGUCCUGAACCUUUACUACAACAACAGGCCUGUGGCUGAUUUAUCAGAGUUAAAGAAUAAUUGGUCAUUGUGGAAGCGUGCAAAAACCUGUCAUCUUGGUUUUAAUCAGACAGAGCUAAAAGUUGAUUUCCCUAUACCAAUUACUGCUUGCAAUUUCAUGAUUGAGUUGGAUUCUUUUUAUGAAAAUCUUCAAGCUUUAUCUCUUGAGCCAUUGCAGUGUCCACGUUGUAGUCGACCUGUGACAGACAAGCACGGUAUUUGCAAUAACUGUCAUGAGAAUGCUUACCAGUGUAGGCAAUGCCGAAAUAUUAAUUAUGAGAAUCUUGAUUCCUUUUUAUGCAAUGAGUGUGGUUACAGCAAAUAUGGUCGUUUUGAAUUCAAUUUCAUGGCUAAGCCAAGUUUUACAUUUGAUAACAUGGAAAAUGAUGAAGACAUGAAGCGGGGAUUGACAGCAAUAGAAUCUGAAUCAGAAAAUGCUCACCGGAGAUAUCAGCAGCUUUUAGGAUUCAAGAAACCAUUGCUGAAGAUUGUUUCAAGUAUUGGUGAGAAUGAAAUGGAUUCUCAACAAAAGGAUUCUGUUCAGCAGAUGAUGGCGUCUUUGUCUGGGCCUUCAUACAAGAUAAACCGGAAAAUUGCCCUUCUUGGUGUCCUUUAUGGUGAGAAAUGUAAAGCAGCUUUUGAUUCUGUGAGCAAAAGUGUUCAGACCCUUCAAGGUCUUAGACGGGUCUUAAUGAAUUACUUGCAUCUAAAACAUUCAGAUGAUGCGGUGUCUGCCUCCAGAUUUGUUGUGUCAAGGUCAGCUAAUAGUUGCUAUGGUUGUGCUACCACUUUUGUUGCGCAAUGCCUUGAGAUGUUGCAGGUGCUUUCAAAACAUUCAAACUCCAAGAAACAGCUUGUUACUGCUCGCAUCUUGACUGAAUUAUUUGAAAAUAAUAUCCAUCAAGGCCCAAAAACUGCUCGUGUCCAGGCCAGGGCAGCACUCUGUGCCUUCUCUGAGGGUGACAUGAAUGCAGUGGUUGAACUGAAUAGUUUAAUUCAGAAGAAGGUUUUAUACUGCCUUGAGCAUCACCGUUCAAUGGAUAUUGCCCUUGCAACCCGCGAGGAGUUGCUGUUGCUCUCAGAUGUAUGCUCUUUGGGUGAUGAAUUCUGGGAAUUGAGACUGAGGGUCGCGUUUCAGUUGUUAUUUUCUUCCAUUAAGUUGGGUGCUAAACAUCCUGCUAUAUCGGAGCAUGUUAUUCUUCCUUGUCUGAGGAUUAUAUCUCUGGCAUGUACUCCACCAAAACCUGAUGCAGCAGAAAAGGAACAAGUGAAUGGGAAACCUGCCUUAGCUUCACAAGUAAAGGAUGAGAGUCGCUCUAAUGUGCCUGGAUAUGGUGGACAGGUAAGUGGAAGCAAGGCUGUUUCUGAGUCAUCUGAGAAGAACUGGGAUGGCGCUCAAAAAACUCAAGAUAUGCAAUUGUUAAGUUAUUCAGAGUGGGAGAAAGGGGCAUCAUAUCUUGAUUUUGUGAGGAGGCAAUACAAAGUGUCUCAGGCAGUCAAAAGUGGUCCAAGGGCUCGACCUAAUAGAUAUGAUUACCUGGCUCUGAAAUAUGCACUGAGAUGGAAGCGACGUGCAUGCAAGGCUCGAGGUGGGAUAGCAUCAUUUGAGCUGGGAUCUUGGGUUACGGAACUUAUAUUAAGUGCUUGUUCACAGUCGAUACGCUCGGAGAUGUGCAUGUUGAUCAGUUUGCUUUGUGGCCAAAGUUCAUCAAGACAUUAUCGGUUACUAAUUUUACUGAUGUCUUUGUUACCAGCCACUUUGGCUGCUGGUGAGAAUGCUGCCGAGUAUUUUGAAUUGCUUUUUAAAAUGAUAGAUUCUGAGGAUGCCCGACUUUUCUUAACUGUACGUGGAGGUUUAGCUACACUGUGUAAGCUGAUUUCCAAAGAAGUGAGUAACAUUGAAUCCUGUGAGAGGAGUUUACACAUUGACAUCUCUCAAGGUUUCAUCCUUCAUAAGCUUAUUGAGCUCUUGGGAAAAUUUUUGGAGGUUCGCAAUAUUAGAUCCCGGUAAGUGCAAAUUUCUUAUUUGGAUUGGCUGUGAAUUAAUCAUGUUUGAUGGCUAAUCCCAUUUACAUAUUCUUGCAGCUUUAUGCAAGAACAAUUGCUGUCUGAAGUUCUUGAGGCCCUAAUUGUGAUCAGGGGCUUGAUUGUACAGAAGACAAAGCUGAUUUGUGAUUGUAAUCGUCUUCUAAAAGAUCUUCUGGACAGUCUCUUGCUCGAGAGUGAUGAAAAUAAACAUCAGUUUAUCCAGGCAUGCAUCUGUGGUCUACAAAUUCAUGGGGAGGAAAGAAAAGGACGAGCUUCAUUGGUAUGUAGUGAAAUCCUUCUGGGUCAAAUCUUUUUUUUUCCCCCUAAAUUCUUUAUACUUUGUUACUAUCUAGGGGUGAUUAAGUUGUGGAGAUUUGCAAAAUCUUUGGUUCUUGUAAAAUCUUUUAUUAGAAUACAUGAAGCAUGAUUUCCUUCAGAUCUUUGGUUCUUGCAAUAGAUAUGCAAAAUCUUGUCAUUUGUUCUUCUCUUUUGGUGGACAAGUUUUUUAAAUAUAUGUUAAAAGAGCUGCUGUUUUCUAUGCAGUUCAUCUUGGAGCAGCUUUGUAAUCUCAUUUGCCCUUCCAAACCAGAGGCCGUUUAUCUUCUUAUUUUGAACAAGGCUCACACUCAGGAAGAAUUUAUCAGGGGAUCAAUGACGAAAAAUCCUUAUUCAAGUGCUGAGAUUGGUCCACUGAUGCGGGAUGUUAAAAAUAAAAUCUGCCAUCAAUUGGAUCUUUUGGGUCUUCUUGAAGAUGACUAUGGCAUGGAGCUGCUAGUAGCUGGAAACAUCAUCUCUCUUGAUUUAAGUAUUUCUCAGGUUUAUGAGCAAGUCUGGAAAAAGUCUAAUAAUCAGUCUUCUAAUGCAUUAGCUGGCACGACAAUGCUUUCCUCUGGUGGCACUGCAUCAAGCCGGGAUUGUCCUCCGAUGACAGUGACUUACCGACUUCAGGUUUGGUCCUGUGGUUUUACCUCCAUAUCUUUUUUUUUAUUUUGUUCUCCUAAAUUUACAGCUUCAGGGAAUUUAUGUACCUUUGUAUGAACUGAUUGACUGCUGGUGAAUAAAGAUUAAAAGAAAAAUUCCUCAGUUUUAUGGGACGCUUUCCUUUUAUGUUCUUUGCAAUUGUUGCAUGGUACAUACCAUUCUCUCCUGUUCAUCUUGUGUGAAAAAAAAUUGAGUUUUCUGUUUUCCCCCAUGUACUUCCAGUUGAGUUUAAGUAGUUAAUUCGUUCAAACUUUGCAGGGGUUGGAUGGUGAAGCUACCGAGCCUAUGAUCAAGGAAUUGGAUGAGGAUCGAGAGGAAUCUCAAGAUCCGGAGGUUGAGUUUGCAAUAGCAGGAGCUGUCCGCAAAUGCGGUGGGCUGGAAAUUCUUUUGGGGAUGGUUCAGGUAUGUGGAUACUUUUAUUCCUUAUAGAUUUAUCUGAUCUGUUUGGAUAAUUUAUUCCUUGUUGGAUAGGAGAAGGGACUUGAUUUUAGUGAUUAUUAAUGAGCCUCCAAGAUAUUGCUAUUUGUGUUUUUGGUUUGUCAUAAUGAUAUAACGCUUUUAAGUAUAGUCCUGCUCCAUUUGGGGCCAGAGAGAUAGAGAGAGGGUUUGCCUUAGCCUUUCUUCUGGUGCUUUUAUUUCAAUUAAGCUUAUCCUUUCUGCAAUUUUGACAUCAAGUACUGAUUUUGGUUAUGCAGCGUUUGCGAGAUGAUUUGAAGUCUAACCAAGAGCAGCUAAUUGCCGUGCUUGAUCUGCUUAUGCUAUGUUGCAAGAAAAGAGAAAACAGAAGAGCGUUACUAAAGCUGGGAGCUUUAAGUCUACUCCUUGAAACAGCAAGGCGUGCUUUCUUUGUGGAUGCAAUGGAGCCUGCUGAGGGUAUUCUACUUAUUGUGGAGAGUCUGACGUUGGAGGCAAAUGAGAGCGAAAAUAUUAGUAUUGCACCUGGUGUUGCAACUGUGUCUAGUGAAGAAACUGGUGCAAGUGAACAAGCCAAAAAAAUAGUACUGAUGUUCCUUGAAAGGUUGUCUCAUCCAACAGGUCUUAAGAAAUCAAGCAAACAACAGAGGAACACAGAAAUGGUUGCUAGAAUUUUGCCUUAUUUGACAUAUGGAGAGCCUGCAGCAAUGGAAGCUCUCAUUGACCAUUUUGAUCCUUACUUGCGCAACUGGAGUCAAUUUGACAGGCUGCAGAGACAGUACGAAGACAACCCAAGGGAUGAGAGCAUUGCUCAACAAGCAAACAAACAGAAGUUUGCUUUGGAGAAUUUUGUUAGGGUUUCGGAGUCUCUUCAGACAAGUUCCUGUGGAGAGAGGUUGAAGGACAUUAUAUUAGAAAAAGGGAUUACUGGAGCAGCGGUCAGACAUCUAAAGGAUACUUUUGCUUAUACAGGCCAGGCUGGCUUCAAAUCUAGUAAAGAAUGGGUAUUCGGUUUGAAACUGCCGUCUGUUCCAGUUAUACUAUCCAUGCUAAGGGGCUUGUCACUGGGGCAUUUGGCCACUCAAAUGUGCAUAUAUGAAGGUGGUAUUUUACCUCUGCUUCACACUUUGGAAGGUGUCGCUGGUGAAAAUGAGAUUGGAGCUAGGGCUGAAAACUUGCUGGACACACUCUCGGAUAAAGAUGGAAUGGGCGAUGGCUUUCUAAGCGAGAAGGUUUGCCAUUUAAGGCAUGCCACGAGAGAUGAGAUGAGGCGUCGAGCUCUAAGGAAGAGAGAGGAGUUACUUAAGGUACUUCCUUUGUCAAUAUUGUCUUUGUGCCUUCAGAGUCUGUUAUGGCAUCUAAUUUGCAUUGCCUACACCCCCAACUGCUGCAGCCCCAUCACCUCUCAUGUUGGUACGGUAAACAAAAGGAUGGAGGCAUCUCUUUUGUGCUCCUUUCAUCUGAUAUGAGAGAGUGAAACUUUUUUUCUUUUUGUUUUGCAUUUUUUGUUUCAAGGAAUAAGAUUAUUUAGAAUGCCGAUCACCGAUACAAGAAUAUUAGUAAACUGGUACAUUUUCGAGCUCUGGAAAAGCAGUGCAUCAUGGGGGCACUUGUGGGCACUGUCACACAGAUGACCCCUCCCUCUCUCUCUCCCCCCCCCCCCCAAAAACACAAAAAACAACACACGCAGACCAAGGAAAAGAGUUGUAUUCUGUUAGCUUAUCCUAUUGUUAACUUUUAUUGCUGUUCUCUAUGCAUCUAAUUAGCAGCUUUUGAUGAAACCAGGGAUUGGGGAUGCGACAGGAGGUCUCUUCUGAUGGUGGUGAGCGUAUUGUGGUUUCUCAGCCUGUUCUUGAAGUUUUGAAGACGUUUGAAAAGAGAGGAAGACGGGCUGGCUUGCAUGGUUUGCCGAGAGGGUUACGGUUGAGACCCACUGACCUGCUUGGGUGUAUACUUACAGCAAGCGGGGUGAAUCUUGUGUUGGAACUUCAGGAAAUGCUCGUGGAGAUUGUGUUUAUACAACUGUCAGUCAUUUCAACAUCAUACACUUUCAAUGCCAUCAGAAGCUAAAAGGGCUGAUGCGGCCCUCAAGAAUCCAAAGAAGGAAUGGAUGGAGCUGCCCUCAGAAACAAUGAGACUCUGUGUAAUAAAUUUAUUCCCCUUGAGAGGUCCAUCAGUUCCAAUGUCGCAAUACAUGCGUUACGUUGACCAGUAUUGGGAUUACCUUAAUGCUCUUGGGAGUGCUGAUGGAAGUCGUCUCCGUUUGUUGACUUAUGACAUUGUUCUGGUCAGUAGUAGUUCUUUUCCUUUUUUUUUUUCUAUGGACUUCUUUUACCCAGCCUCGUCUGGGUUCUUGCCCCCUUGUUAGUAUUUGGGAUUGUUGUUUGACCUGUUUCUGACCUAGAGAUUAUCGUCAAUGAUAACUGCUUACUGUCAUUUCUUUUGGCAGAUGCUGGCACGUUUUGCAACCGGUGCAUCAUUUAGUGCAGAUAGUAGAGGUGGGGGAAAGGAAAGUAACUCCCUCUUCUUACCUUUCAUGAUUCAAAUGGCUCGUCAUUUUCUUGAUCAUGACUCCUCUCAGCGCCAGGCAAUGGAAAAAUCUAUUUCCAGUUACUUGGCUUCGUCUUCACUUGAAUUGAAAUCAUCCAGUCCUGGCACACAACCAUCAGCUGGAACGGAGGAAACUGUCCAAUAUAUGAUGGUGAGUUCACUUCUAUCAGAGUCUUACGAGUCAUGGUUGGAACAUCGCCGUACCUUCUUGCAGCGUGGGAUAUACCAUGCCUACAUGCAGCGAAUUCAUGGCAGGCCAAUGAACCGCUCAUCACCCAGUCUGACGAGUUCUUUGAGACCUGAUUUGGGUAGUACUAGUGACAUCCAUUCAGGAGAUACUGGUGGACCUGACGACUUAUUGUCAAUCAUUCAACCAAUGCUGGUUUACACUGGUUUGAUUGAGCAACUGCAGCAUUUUUUCAAGGUAAAGAAACCUGCUACUGCGGGUACAGCUAAAACACAAAUUUCUUCAAAGGCGGUGGAACCGGAAGAAGAAAGUAAAAGGUUGGAAAUGUGGGAGGUGCUCAUGAAAGAGAAUCUCUUAAAUGUAAAAGAAAUGGUCGGCUUCUCCAAGGAGUUGUUGUCUUGGCUUGAUGGCAUGAUGUCUGCUACGGAUUUGCUGGAAGCUUUUGAUAUAAUUGGCAGCUUAGCGGAUGUGCUUAGUGGUGGGUUUACCCGACCUGAAGAGUUUGUUUAUGCUGCAAUAGGGAGGAGCUGAUGUACAGGUGCAUGUUUAGGAGAGAUUUUUUUUAAAUUAAUCCCUUUUGGGAGGGGGAAGCUAUUUGGCAUUCUGCCCCAUUAUGUUUAAUUAUUGCGUGGAAGCUACUAGUUUUUUUUUUUUUUUUUUUUUUUUGUGAGUAUAAGGAGUAAACCUGUUCGGCCAAAUUUUAAGGCCAAAACUGAAAUUUUGUGAGGCAAAAUUUGUAGAGAGUUGCUUGUUAUUAUAUUCCCUGUACACGACAAGGAACGUCACAGAGAGAGAUGACAUCCAAUUUUGAAAUGCGUUGCCACAGCUGUUAGAUGUCGAUGCGUGUUAUUGUCAAGGCCGAAUUGUCCGGGUCAAAAUUUCUGGCAUUGUUAUGCAUUUCAUUAGGUUGGGUUUUGGUUGAAUCCACUAAAUCCGAAUCCACAGUUGCUAACGGAGCGCUUAGUUUGAGGGUACUGGAAUUUGGAUUUGGUAUCAUAUUCUCUUGAAAAAUGGGUACGGGAUUCAAGAUUUUAGAAUGAUUUCUAAAAGUGUGGUAACUGUCAACCCCCCCAAAUAUGUUUCUUAAAUUUCAUUCUCAAGUAGGUUUGAUUAAAUAUUUUUUUAUUUAGAUUAAAAUUUCUCAUUUCUCACCUACUUUUCUUCUCGCAUCUAUCAUUUCUUAUCGAUUGCCGUUCUGUUAUCCAUCAGUAUCAUUCUUUUCUUCUGUCCUUCUCCUUCCUUUCUUUCUUGCCUUCUUUACAGCAGUCAAAAUUUUCUCCUCCUCUUCUCCUAGUGGAUCUCUUCUCUUCCUAUCUCUCUUUCAUACCAUCUUCACCAGCCACCUCUCUUUUCACAUCACUUCUCCUUCCUCGUAGUUAACGUUUCCUCAUUCUUUACCCUAAUUGAUGCCUUCCUCUCCUCGCGGAAGCCCGGGUAAUGCCUGAUGACAAGAAAGGUAUUGGCCUUAGAUGGACUAUAUGAGUUGAAUUAAAGAUUUAAUUUCAAAGUACAAAAAUUCCCAUUCAAUUUCUGGAAAUUGUUGUUAGACUUUUUGGUUAAAAUAGUUGUUGAUUCUUGUAUGUAUGAGUGUCGCCAGGUGAUUGGAGAGAAGCGAACAAAUUAAGGAUUUUGAUUGGCGGUGGUCUGAUGGUGGUUGCCUGUGGUUGUUCAGGAAGAGUUGAAUGACUGUCUAUCAAUCUGGAAAAUAGAAAAAAAAAAAAAAUGUUUGUUGUUUAAAAGAAAAAAGAAAAAUAAUUUUGAUUCUUAUUCCAAAGCAUUUUUUGUACCAAGCAAAACUCGUUACAAUGAUACAACUAGUUCAUACCGAUACUAAUUUUUUGCAUAUCAUUCCAUAUCCAAUUUCAAUUCUACAGCAUGAACCAAAAUCAGACUCGAAUCUUCAUGGGUUUGGAUGCCUAAUAAGUAUCCAUGAGUAUUUCUUAACAUGUAAUAAAAAAUUAAAUUUACAAAUAGUAAAACAUGUGAAAUUCAAAAAUAAUAGAAAUAUAAUUCAUAUUUUCAGUAGAUAGAAUCAAAUCAACAUUCAAGGAUGUUGAAAGUAUGCAGUAUUGUUAAAUAAUACUACUAUUUGCUUGAAACUUUUUAUCUAUACUCAAUAUUGAAGCUUGCAUGCAUUUUUUCACACACACAUAUGUACGUGUGCUGGUUUGGGUGGAAUUUGAGUCUGAAUUUGAAAAUGAGCGUGAACCCUCCUCUAUAAAACCCAUGAAUUUUUCACACGGUUUGGAUCUGAGCAAGGACCUGACUUUGAAAAUUUAAACCCCAAGUAUCGGUAUGAACUAGUUGUAUGACUUUAAACCUUCAUACUUGGGCACCUAACCCAUUCACAUGCCUAAACAUGGUUAUGACUUUGCACUUCGUAUUGUAGAACGAACAAAAUAUGAUUCAUUACAGGGGCACAAAAGAACUGUGAAGAAAGAGCAACAAAGGGUAUAUAAUCUCCUCACUGGAUGACAAAAUAGGGUUCAGCUUACAUACUUUUUUCAGUUCCCCAAGUAUCUAUCAGUAAUACUCUAGUUCAUUGCAUCAUAAUCAUCCAACUUGUCAUUAUAUUCCAAGACUUUUCUCCUAAUCUUAGAUGUAUCUACCCAAGUAACAAAGUCUUCCAUAUUUCUUGUAACUAGAAACGAACCAUCGGUAACUGUGUCUGGCCCCACACGAAUAUGCCCCUGCUCUAUAUAAGUCACAGCUUCGUUCAAGUGUUCAGCAAACUUCAGGCGCAUUAGUACUGUAGAAAGCCUUCGCCUGGUUAAAGACAUUGACAAACCUCAGUAUGACUUGAAAUCUCUUGCAUCACCAAAAUCCCAGUCACAGAGAAAAAAUGUACAUGGAACAUGACACAGGAUUAUUAGAUGGCAGACUAUCUAAUUCUCAGUCAACAGAAAAGUCCAAAUUGACCAAGCCAUUUAACCUGUAACCUACCAAUAACAAAUGAACUUUUUUAACAUGAAACUUGACCUGACUGGCUGGCAUCUCAUUAGACCAGUUGGUACUAAAGAAACAUCGUUUAAUAAUCUAAAAUCAGUAAAUUGUCAACAGCUGUUGGCUUUUCAUCUUUCUCAGUCUUUCGUCUUUUUUUUUAGGUGACCGUGUUUCUCUACUGUAUUCUUGCCAUUAGCAUUAGCAUUUUUACCUUGUUCGUAAUGCCAAGCGUGUUUUUUAUUUUUUCGUGUUGGGGUGCAAAUUUUCAUUAAAAAAAAUAAAAACCAUGAUGUGAUUCUUCCCCUUGGAUAGCAUUUUAGCAGGCAUUCUUCCUGUUUGAACAUUAUCAAAUUCAUAAUCACCCAAAUGUAAAUCUGCAACUUACUUACCGACAAAAGGAUGAAACAGAUAACCGAUCACACAAAGCCAAACUCUUCCUAGAUGGUAUCACUCCCAUGUUAUACCUGCAUUGACAAGGUAGCUUGUAGCGAAUUAAUUAUUGAUUAUAGAUCACAAGAUUAAAAACUUGAUAAUCCAAGAAAAAAGUAAGUUCAUUGGCUUUUCUUUUUAUUCCCUUUUUUUUUUGGGUUGGGGGGUGGGAGCAUCUCCCUUAUAUGAAGUAGCAGCUAACAAAGAGAGAAUCCCAAGACAGAUUCUCAAAGAAAAAGGUCAUGCAAUAGAUAUUCAACAUGUGUAACAAAUCCUGGCAUUCUUGCUUCACGAUCCAAUCUUCUAUAACAUCAAAAUGUUCAGUAUUUCUACUUGGUCAUCACAGAGCUGGCCUAAUCAAUAUAGAAGACAUUAUCAAUACAUCCGAAGCUUUUUGCAGAGAAAUUUGGACAUAAGAAACAAAAAAGUUUUCCUGAUUGCAAGGAAUCUAUAUAAUGUCAGCGGUCCAUUUCUUCAGUAGUCCAAAAUAUUCGUUCUGCAAAUGGUUCUGCAGAGAACAAUCAUCAGGAGGCUGUUGGCUCAAUAUAAUAGACACCCACCAACCCCAUACGACCCUGCUCGGAAAUGGCAAUAACUUCAACAGAAGCCACACCCAGAACAUGCGCUUAGCAAUCAAAUGUUGUUAUUGAAGCCACUGAAAGCACCAUGGCUAGGAAACAUAUUAGCUCAAUUACAUUAAACACCACAUUUAAAAGAAGUAUUUUCACCUACCAUCAUCUCCAAACAGUUCAAUUACAAGCAGUGCUUAAGACUUCAGAUGAAAGUUGAACAAAAAAAAAAAAAAGAAAAAGCUGUAACCCAAAAGGUUGCUAAUCAAUAAGAGGAAAAAAGGCAGGAGAGAGUAAGGCAAAAAACUCACAGCUUUUCGAGGAGAGCAUCAGUCAUCUCAAUCCGAAAAGGGUCUGUAUGGUCCAUCUGUUUCAAUAUAUUCACUAGCUUCUGUACCAUUCUACACAGUUUUGAAUACCUAAUAAUCCAGUAAAAAAAACGUAGCAAAAUCAAAAUUGAAGCCAUAAAAAGCUUAUCAACCCAAAAGAAAACAAACCCGCCAACGAAAGAAGAUAAAAACAAAAUACUGAUCAAAACUGGAGAAAUGGGAGGUACUACUUCUUGUAAUCAUCUCUGUUGGUGAGGUGGUAGCGACGUAUGACAUCAUUUUCUCGGUGACCUCCCUCUCUUUUCCACUCCAAGAAAUUGACCUUCUUCAAGAGUUUCUUCUCAUGAUGCUUGAGCUUUCUCAUCUUCAGAUCGCAAAAACCAAAAACCCUAAACCCUUCGACGGAGGCCGAGUGCAAGACGAAGAAAGAGUGGCAGUUUUCAGUUUGAAGCCUGUGAAAAUUCGUCAGUUUUGCGUAUUGGGUUUAUAGUAGUCAGAGGCCAUUGGGUAGAAGAGCAGUCCAGCCCAAAAAGAAUUGAUCCCGUUUGCCAAGCCCCUUCUCGUAGACCUUCGGACAAGCAAUCAGUCAGCUUGACACUUUUUUUGAUGGUUAAUUCCACUUUGCAACCUUCAACCAUACAUGGAUGUCCACUUUGAUCCCCGUCCUCUAAAAUGAAACACUUUAAAUAUACAAUUUAUCACAGUUUUUGUCAUUAAACUAUGAUUCCACUUUUAAUCCCUCAGAGCAUAGAAUUUAUCCCACUUAAGUACAAUAAUUUGUUUCACCUACGUUAACGAUUUUACUUUAAGUGUGACAGAUUUUUAUAUUUAAAGAACUAAGCCGUUUUAUUUUAAAGUUUAAAAAUCAAAGUGGGAAUCCAUAUACAGUUGAGUUGAAGGGUACAAAGUAAUAUUAACCCCUUUUUUUCCUUUUAUGCUUUUGAUGGUGUCCUAAGCUUACCUCCACUUUAUUAAAGGGUUAUAUUAUAUAUCUGUAUUGAACUUGACUGGCAACAACCAAAGAAGAAGAAUUUGAUUCGGAAUUCACCAACUCGAAAUGGGCAAAAAAAAUCUAGGAUGAUUUUGCGGCCUCAUUAAGGAAAUAUAGAUCCUGAUGGCUAUAAUUAUUAUUGUUUCCUCAUUCUUCUACUUUUCUUGAAACAAAUAUGAAUACAAGAAAAAAGGGAUGGUGGGUACAAGUGAUGCUUGUACGAGUGUCUUGUUCUUCUUGGCAUUCUUUAAUAAACUAAUGAAUACAUCCUUUUUCCUAGUGGUAAAAAUUAGAUUAUAUGACUGGAUUAAAAAAAAAAAUCACUCCAUGACAAUAUCUAUAAAAGAUUAUACCCCUCACAUUUUUGCAACUUAUGUAUAUUCCUUCGUCAAAGCUAAUGCGAUUUAUUAAUUCGCAAACAAACUUAGGCGCCAUUGAAGUCCCAUUUCAUGAGCAGAUAAAUUUUAUUCUCUGUUUAGCUAAAUUUUCACUCCAGCUCUUAUAGGUGCCGUUGAAGUUUAUCCAUAUCCAGUGUCAAAGUUAAAAAGUGAAGAUGCAAGCAUCCAAUGUCAAGGUCAAAAAACCGAGCAUGAUCCCAACAUUCUUCAACUUCAAGGUUAACCUUGUGAGAGCCUUACCUUCCCCUAAGGCGAAUCAAAGGGUUUAGCGGACUGCCUGCCCAACUCUCGCCGGGACUCAGUCAUUCACUCAAACAAAUCCGAAAUAAAAUCACAAGAAUUCAUAUGGCAAAAUCGAAAAUUUAAAAUGAAACUUAUAUACAUUGCUAUCUCAAAAGAAAGUACAAACGUUGAAUAUACAAAAGUUCUCAAUUCACCAAACAACCAGCCCGUGCCAAGCACUAGGGCGAGAACCAUUACAAAAGAAAAAAACCAAGGGCUAGACCCAACUAAUUUAUACAGGCUCUCGUCCUUACUCGCCUUUCCCUGUUAAGGAAAACAAAACUAACGGGGUGAGCUAUAAGCUCAGUGAGGUUCCGAACAUAUAGGCAACAAGAAGUUUCAUGCAUUCAUUACAUGUUACCAAUAAUUCAAAAUACAAAUACAAAAGAAAGCGAUAAACACAUUCAUGGAAAGGAUACGUGCUCACAAGGAGCCAUUCGUUCAUUCGUUCGUUCAUCCAUUCUCCUUUCGUUCCCUUAUACCUUCAAUCAUUUGAAAAUGCAUUUUUUUUAUAAGUAAGCAAAACCCCCAUUCAUUCAUUCGUUCAUUCAUUCAUUCACCCCCUUUCCGGAUAUUGUCCAGGCUCCACCAGACUUCAAGGUAAUACUCGAGUAUACCAAAACGUUCAUCCAGGUCAUCAAAUCGCCCGACCGAGUCCGCUUCUGGUUCGAGUCGACCGGUAACAAGGGGCAGUGGCCAGUUCAGCCCACAGGCUUACAUUCAUGCACAAAUAACAUUUCAAAUCGUUCAAUCAUUGAAAAUGUCACAACCAUUUAGGUCGAGUGCGAUAAAGUACACAUUCGCCUAGAAAACUCGUUUUGGCAAUCAUUGAAAGCAUAUAACAUGUCAGCAAUCAUUCACAUAUGUCAUAUAGUCAAGAAACAUAACAAACAAGAACACUCACCAAGCAAGCAAGUGAUAUUUCAUACACCUCCGCCUAAAGAGUGCCUUGGACCACCGUCACGUCCUAACCAUUCAAAUAAGCACAUAUAAGACUCGUUUACAAGUCAUAAACCAAUUCCAAAUACCAUCAUAAUAGGUUCCACUAGAAAGUAUAAGCAUUAGAGUAAACCAGGAAAAUUCGGAAAUGGAAUUGAACUUCAAUUCAAAAAAAUAGUUUUUGACGUCAUUAUGCGGUUUUAGCACCAACGGCACUACGAUUAUCGGAUGGAAGUGUAAGACCCACCGUUUCGAAGCUAACAGACAGGGCUACAACAUCACAGAAGGUCACUCAACCCAGUUUUGAGUGCAACCAGGUCAAAAAUGCAAGAUAUUACGUCAAAAAUGUAAAACAGAUUCACCAAAACGCAUUCUAGCGGAAACCUCAUAACUCAGGCUCUCCAAGUCCAAAUCCAGAAAUUCCAAAACCAGCUGAAAGCUAAGAAACAGGGCUAAAUUUCAUCAGAAGGUCUCAACAACCAAUUCGGAAGCAAUUCCAGCCAAAACAACCAAUUACAGGCGCAAUUCUUACAUUCGGGUAAAACCAGAACAGCAAUAGUAAUUUCGACUUUUCUCAUUCUAUACUACUCCGAUUGACCUGAAAUUUUGUAGGCACCUCUAAAAUGUCAUUCCCUACAACUUUUAUGUUUUAAGCCAAGGCCAAUUCGGCCUCUAACUAGGAGCUAAAAAUUCGGGCAGAAUGCUCCCUCAAGAACCCUAAUUUUCUGAAAUUUCCUCCAAACCAGAAAUUGGUUACAAUUAAUCACUUUUUCCACCUCUGAGAGUCAUUAUAUACCAUUUCUAAUCAUCAUAGAUAGCCACACAAUCAUGCUUAUAUUAAAACAGAAAAAAAAAUCCCCAAAAUAAUAAAACUUCAUCACUUCAACCACAAAUCAAGAAAUAACCCAUAAACUUGCAUCUCAUACUACCACUAAGCAUGAUUUAAGCAUCAAUUAAGGGAGGAGGGUGGUUCUUCACAACUUACCUUAGUAAAACAAGAGAGAGAGCAACUUGUCACCUUAGCUUCCCAAACAACUCCACCAAACAACUCACAAACACUAAGUGAAGAGGUUUUAUGGAGUAAAACUAAAAUUAAACGGUUAAAAGUGAAGAUUGAGCAAGUUUGGAGCAAAGAAAUUGGAGAGCUUUUCUUCCCUUGUUGCUUGAAGGUGGCCGGCCAUAUGAAGCUUAGAAAUGAAGAUAUUUUGGUCAAUUUUUGAAGUUAUUAUGGUAAAUGGUAAAAGCAUGAAUAGUAAGUCAAAAGUAGGAAUUAAUCUCUAAGUGACACAUGUCAUCUUCCUUAAUUACUUGCCUAACUUUUUUGUCUCUAUUACACCAAUCCACUUGACAACCUCUAAAUAUCUCAUAACACCCGAUAAAUUAAACUCAAUAUCCAAAACUUAACCUAAUUGGGCGAAUUUUUUCGAACUUUUCGCACUAGCGGGUCCCACGUCCGGUAUACGCUCUUAAUUUCUCCAAAGCUAUCCGAUACUAGGAAAAUCAUCUAAAAACUAUAUUUACUCAAUAAAAUUAUUUGGAGAAUUUUCUAAGAAAGAAAAUGUAGAAAAAGGCGGGCGAUUAAUAAAAGAAACCCUAGAAGCUUAGAAAAUUUUCGGGUUCUCGCACUCAUUCUUUCGGGGCGUCACAAACCUGCUCUUCAAGUCUCCCCACUAUCAAAUAAUAACGCAAAGACUCCACCGUCCUUCCCUUCACAUCUCUCCUUCACCCCCCAACCAUUUAGUUUACACUACUGUUUCAUUGAGUUUUGCGAUCCCAUGCGUAGGUGCCGCCGCGUGUGUGUCUGUAUUGGUAUUGUUAAGGAAUGCUGCAUUCUGGGGUGGGUUGCGUCGUAUCAAACUUUAGAUUUUUAGCGUUGUUUAGUUACUGCUAGUGAGUUAGUAGUAGUGGUUAAAAGCGGCAUUAAUUUACAGCUUGACAUUUUUUAAGGUAAUUUACUUUACAUGUUAUUUAACUUCUGAGAUUGCCUUGUUUCGUGAAAAUGUAAACAUUAAAUAUUUGGAUCGGUCAAGCUUUCAAGUUUGUGUUUUCCCCCUUCCGGCUUCGGCUACGUACACCUGUAUCAUCGUUGAUUGGACUAGUAGUGUUGCAGAACGUAGUAAUCCUUUCCGUUUCCUUCAAUUCUUCUUCAUGGUAACUUAACUCUGUCUUCUUGCCGAGCUUUAGAAUUCCAGAGUCUUCAUGAGAGUGGGUAGUAAGUAUUCGAAUAAAGGAGUUUUAUACCAAUUCUACCCUACGUAUUCCAAUCAAAAGAUGAAACUCAUUGCCUUUCUCCCAGGAAAUGAGACACCCAAAAAAAAAAAUUCUGCUGAAGCUGAUGAAAAUUGCUACCCGUAAGAACCCAAAUAACAAGAGAGAGAGAGAUAAUAAGCUUCGGGAGCAAGAGGUUUGAUCCAAUAACUUCCUGUAAAAUAAGGCAGCUUCUCAUACUUAAAUGGAAGCCUCUAUCCAAAAUCAAAGACCAAAAAAAAUUUACAAGUCCCCAUACGGAGGAAACUCUUGAUCACCAUCCCAUCAGAAGACGAGCGAAUGCUGGAAAUCAAGGCAAAUUUCCAUAUUCUCAGAGAUAAUAAAAAAUGAAUAGUGAUGGCGACACUCUAACCUUGAUCCACUUUCAGCUAUUUAUUAGCACAAUCUUAACUGUCAACGCUACCUCUGCAGCUAGUACAACCACCCUGAAGGAAAAGAAGAAUACAAUAAGAAAGAACUGACAUAAAUCAUACAGAGGAAGUAUGGUGUCAAAACUCUAAAAAGAAACAGAAACAUCCUUACAAUACAUUCUGAUUUUUGCUAAGACGCAAAGAAGUUGUACCUAAAAAUCUCAUUCUUCAUCGGAGCAAAAGAAUUAGAGAGAUCAGUUUUAGCUUCUAGCCUUCUUUUCACAUUUUUAAAGAAAUGGACAAAGGAGUGAAGAAAGCAGAAGAAACCUCUCUAAUGACUGUACUAGCAGUUCCUUCAUUGGUUCUUUUACCCACGUCAAGUUGCACUGAGAUGUUGACCUGGGACAAAUCCACCCCAGAGGAUUGGAGUGCAUGCUUAAGGGUAUUCAACAACCUGUCAAUUUUCAAUAACUCAAAAUAAACAAGAUAAAUCAACAUAACAAAAUUAAAAACUCUAUAGCUUUUCCAGGUGCUUAAGAAUAAGAAUAUGGCUCGAGUAUUUAACAACCAGUUCUGCCUUAAAAUAACAAAUAAGUAGGUUCCAUGCAGGGGAGAUGAGAUGGAGAGAGCCAAACUGUAUUUGCACCUCAGAAUCUCACCCUUGAGAGUAAACAUUUGAGAUACUAGCUUCUCCACUAUCCGGGUGCAGCUGUUCUCGCUGGCUAGUUUUGUAGCUUGGAACAGCGCAUUCGGAUGCAGUCAAUUUGCCUUGCCAGUAUUCGGAAGGGGAGUGAGUAGCCAAAUGUUCAGGGUCAGGAAAAGAUCCCUGAGGAGGUUGGGUAGACACAACAUGAAACAAAUUUGGCUGCACUAGCAAAUUUGAAGAAUUUUCUUCAUUUCCUGACUGUUGGGGAUGAUCUGUAGGAGUGCAUAGAGGAGCACCAUUCAACUCAGAAUCCAUUGCCGUCUGGGCAUUAGAAAGCAAAGUUGGAGAGACAAUGAUGUUGUCUUCGUGACCAGAACCAUUCCUCAUGAGCAGUGGUUGAUCAACAAAAUUCUCAAUUAGCCCAGAAUUGCUUCUCUAUUUGCACAUUAAGAGGAAGUCAGUAUAGUUAGAACUUUAGGCUGGACUUAUUCAAUACAAAUUACAAGUAGGUUCAACCGCAAAUAUAAGUCCAGAAGCCACAAUGUGUAACUAAUCCUAAAUUUAAAAUGGUAAUCAAACUUUAAUGCAGAAAUGAUAUUGGAAAUUCACAAUCAGAAAGAAAAGACAAGGAGAAUGACAUAAGCACACACGCCCAGGAUGAAAAACAUCAGAUGCACAACUACUAAAUGAACUUUACCCAAGGUAUCAACUUUGAUGGCUCCUGAUUCCAACCUUGGUAUGUUUCCUCGUACAUCUGUAUCCUCUCCUGUAAGAACUGGAUAUACUGUAUAACCUGGAUUUAACAGCACGUACUGGUUAAAUUGUUCUGGCAAUAAAACAGAGAAGAGGGAAAAAAAUCACUGAAUGAGAACUAACAGCAAAAGUAAAGGGCCAAAUAGGAAAUACACCUCCAGCAAGAAUGAAGCUUUAUCUCGCUUCUGAUCAUUUUCAGGGAUGAUAUCUCUUAAAAUUUGGAAUCUGCAUGGACAAACAUAAUUUUUAGCUCCAUUGAACUUUGUGACUUAUGCCCAGAAGGCAAGAAAGUUUGGGCUCUAAUAUAUAAGCUUCAACGUGCACAGAUUGUCAUCCACCAAAUCAUGCUUGAGAGAGUACAUUUUAGAUUGCAAUCUCAUUGACAGAAGCCAAAUGAGAACAAAGGCAAAAUCAAUAAGACAGGAAGACAUUGCAAUGAGUAUUUUCAAAGCAACUAACCUCAGCAUCAUCCAUUAAUCAAAAGAAUCAAAUCAAAAAAUCCAAAUUUUACAUUGAUCAUUUACCAAUCGAUUAAUGAUCUGAAACCUUACAAAGAUGGUAUGAGAUACAAUAUAUUUCUUGAAUCAACAUAUGCAUCACUAGAUUAUAAAUCUGCAAUGAUGUCCAUUUCAAACAUAUGCAUACUCCAUCUCUAGAAAUCACUACCAUAGACUGAUUGAGCCAAGAUACUAGAAUUUGCAACCACUUAGAGAAUAAGGUCACUGUUAAUACACAUCAAAAAGGCCUUUCCUUAUUUCCAACUUCAAAAUCAGAUACUGCUAUUUCCAACUCAUUCGCUCAUCCUGGACUCUGUUUCCACAAUUUUCUCAAGUCAAAUCAGGAUCUCUUUUGCUCAACAAGCCUAUAUACUCCAAAAAAUGCAAAAGUUCCUGGGAACUUCUUCUUAAUCACCCCACCCAAUUUACUCCUCCCAACUCAACAAUGGAUUGUACGAGCCAUUCUUCAGUUCCACUUAUCACUAUUAAACAUAAAAAAGAGAAUCCAAAGCAAUCUUAUCCUCAAACUGCACAACAACGGAUCACAAAUAAAUAUCCAGCAUAAAAAUACUCCCCAUGGAGCACAACAAAAUCCUCAGCUGCAAAUAAAGAAGAACACUUUAGCACUCAAGCGUGAACUAAUACAAACCUAAUCACUAGAAACAAUAGCAGAAGAGAAAAUCACCAGAGCAGGAGAACUAGGUGAGCAAUUGAAUAAAGAGGGAGUACGUUUUGCAUAUUCAUUAUUAAGAAUAUACAGAGAAUUCAUCGCACAGGGUAUAAGGACAGUACACAGUGUGGUACUUAACACAUUUUCGUGGAAUGGAUCCGUAUAUUUUCACAGAAUUCAUGCCCUUAGUAAUAAUUUCAUAAAACUCAUGCUACCCUCCUUAUUAACAAUUUGAUGAAAGUCAUGCAACCAUUUUUAUUAAUUUGAUUAAUAAAAAAACCCAGUAGUCCACCCCUCGAUAAUUUCCCUAUAGUAGUGGGAGAUAUGUCACCCUCAUUCUAACAAAGAAUAGAACAACCCGGGGAAAAAAAAAAGAAAAGGAAAGGGAAAUGCUUGCCUCUCGUUAAUUUUGCUUCUCCGCCGCUGUUCUGUCUCGGAAUGCUUCGACCGCAGAGCAUUGACCUUCUGAUCAUUACCCUUUCCCUCCACUUUCACUGCCCACCCAACCCAUUAAAAAAAAUGUAAACGUAUAUAUAUAUGGAAAAAAAAAAUCACCAGAGCCCAAAGCAUAUCUGAAAAAGUUAACAAAAGUCAACCUUUUUGAGAGGAAUUUUCAGGAGUAGAGGAAGCGAAUUCUUCAUCGUCAAAAUCGUCGUCUUCCUGCCGGCUCUUCGAGGUUCUCACCAUUUACCGGUUACAAUUACAAUCCUCCAGCCCUAAAAAAGAUAAUAACAACGAUAAUAAUGAUAACACACACACAGUCUCUCUCUCUGUCUCUCUCAAUUUCUCUCUCUCUCUCAAUUUAUGCACUGCUAAUUGGAAAAGCCCUAGAUGGGUGAGAACAAGCGAAAACGCUUUCAGAAAAAACUAAGAACAAAGAAAGUAGCACCCGUACUGCUAAAUUGCGCCUCACGGGUGGUAAGAUGCGCACAUCUGUUAAUUUUCUUCUUUGACUUGAUGAAAGUCAAAAGUUUUUGUCAUAUUCAAAAUUAGGAAAACUGUCUGAUCAAUUCUUCGUUUUCUAGUUUUUUUUUUUUUUUCUCCUGACAGAGAGGGUGUCCGAAUCAAUUCUUACGGAAUUUUUUAAUUGAUUUUUCUGAUUUAUUGUUUUAACGUCUGAAAGGUCAAAUCAUUAUCAUGACUGACUUUGUUGAAUAUGUUUUGAUCCGGUCUUUGAUAUUCAUGAAUUAUACAUAAUGUACUGGGUAAAAUGAAUAGUUUCAAAUGUAAGAUUUAAUUUGUAUUCUACCCUGCAUGAAAAUAACAACAUCUUUCCUUUGUUAAUUAUAGCUAAUCUAUAGUUUGAUGAAUGACUUGAACAAAAAUGUGUAAAAAAAAAAAAAAAAAAAAUUGGGUACACUUCACAUAAUUAGCUACCAGGCUUAUGUUUGGAUAGAAUAUUAUUUGAAAUAUUAUUUGGAAGAAUUAUUGUAACACCUUUUGUGAUGUGAUAUAUGUGAGAUAAUAAGAUAGUUGGGAACGUAAAAAUGUAUUUAUGAUACAAGUGAAAUAUUGUUUAGAAUAAUGUACUAUCCAAACACAAGUAUGCAAAUAAACUUUUUCAAAUUAGUUGGAUGGGUUAGGUAAAUGAAGUUUUUCAAAAGUAAAAUUCAUGUAAUUCCGCUACGUCCUUUAUAAACAAAAUAAUGUGAGCCGAUGCAUGCCCCGUGGCCGUGUAACAACUUUUUAGAUCAAAAAUAGUAGUGUAUUAUUUCUACGCAUCAGUUUAAUCACUGGGAUUUUUUUUAAUAGAAUGUCCGUCCCGUGUAGGAUACCUAUAAAUAUACUACGUGGACGCAUCACAUUUAUUAUGCUCCUACCUUUUAGAUAAUACUAGUGUGAAUACCCGUGCUACGCACGGUGCUUACAUUAUAAAAAAAAAAUUACAAUCUAUGGAAGAAUUUAAAAUAUUUUACUAUAAAAUAAUAUUAUAAAAUAUUAUUUUUUAAUUAAUGAAUGGUAAUAUGUGUAUUUAAUAGUAAGAUUUGAGAAAAUCUAUCCUUAAUUUGGUAAUGUUUAUGAUAGUAGUUGAUAAUAUUUUAUGUUUGAGACAUUAUUUAGUGGGUGAACUCGAUGUGAAAUGUGAAGCAUGAUUUCGACCAUAUGAGUUUUGAGUCACUAUAUUUUUUAUGAUAUGUAAUUAAACAUUUAGAAUAGUAAAAUAUAUUUUUUAUUAUGUUAAUUAUUGCCUCAAACAAAUUGUCAAUUUUGGUAGUAAAAAUGACAAUAUAUUUAUGUUAACCUUUGAUAUUAGAUAAGAUUGUAGUGAUCCUAUUCAUUAGGAUUGACCACUGCAAUAAUAGCUUUUAGUACUAUUUGUUAACAUGUAAAAUAUUAACAAAGCCAUUGGGGAGCUUGCGGUGGCAUUUAUUAAAGUGUUUAUAAACAAUUGGUACUAUUUCCACAUUCUUAUAAACAAUGAAAACAACAAUAAUAUUAUAAUAUUCGGAAUGUUAUUAAUACUUAGAAGUACAAUAAUAAUCCCAAUAAUAUUCCCAAAUUUUAAAGAAUACAUAAGACCUAAAUUUCUAACUUGAUUCUUACAAACAAUGAAAACAACAAUAAUAAUAUAAUAUUGGAAAUAUUAUUAAUAAUUGAAAUAACAAUGGAAACACCAAUAUUUUAAGAAUAAGUACCGUAACUUCUAACUUGAUUCUUAUAAACAAUGGAAACAGCAAUAAUAUUAUAAUAUUGGGAAUAUUAUUAAUAAUUGCAAUUAUAAUGAAAAUGGCAAUAUAUAAAGAAUAGAUAAUACCGGCUUGAUUCUUAUAAACAAUGAAAACAAUAAUAAUAUUAUAAUAUUAGAAAUAUUAUUAAUAAUUGUAAGUAUAAUGAAAAUACCAAUAUUUAAAGAAUAAAUAGUGGCGAAACUUCUAACUUGAUUCUUAUAAACAAUGGAAACCAUCUAAUUCUGGAUUGUGCCCAUGCAUAGCAGAACCAAGAUGUGACAUGAAUUUUAAUUUUUUUUAGAACCUCAUUCCUAGGAUCCAUCGACUACAACACACACACAAGCUGUUGAGACAAUUUUGCGACUAAAUAUAUAACUAAGGUUCGAGUAUGUUGGGGGAUUCAUUUUAUUUGAUGCUUAAGAAAUAUAGGAUUUUUUCCAGAGUUCAAAAUUUUUUUAAAAUAUAUAUAUAUAUGUAAGAUUUUAUCCGGAGAGAGUUUGGACACGGCAUGAUUUUAUCCCGAUUUGAACAGCCCAAGGACAUGUAAUGCAGUAAGACACAAAAUCUGCCAAAAAAAAAAAACCCAAAACACAAAAAACGAACCUACCCGCUAGUAGUAAUCUCUUAAUGUCAACCUUCUGAACAUCUUAUUUCAAAGUAACGAAGAAACUCCACAGAUCACAACUCAUAAUUAAUAGUAGUAUUAUUUUUCGUGAUCAAAAUUGAUGGUACUACAAUAUGUUACCAUAUUAAGAGUUUGGGGUAAAGACUACAUAAGUCACAUCAUGAGCACAACUCAUGAUAUGAUCAGGUUUUCAAUAUUAAAAGAAUAUCAAUAUUAAAUGAAUAAAUAGUACCGAAACUUUUAAUUUGAUUGGCGCGGCGUUUGAGUUGAUGUAGUCGAGAUUUUAUCCAUCGUAGUUGAUGUGAGAUUUCUCUUUCCUCGGCGCAAAGUUGUUGGAACUGUUCCAAUUCUUGUGCGGGACCGUGGUGGCGUCCUUUUCGUUUCAUUAGCAGAUGUUUCCUCCGUUGCAAUCUUGCGAGUUUGAAAUUCAGGUGUUGAUGACAUGCCUGUAAACGGCCAUGUUCUAUUGUGAAGCUAAUUAGAGAGGUUCGAGAAGGAAGUUGAUUGAAAGGGUUUUUAAUUGAAAUGGAAAUGUGGGUGUGGAGUGAAAUUGUAAGAGUAAUUCCCAAAAGUAGUAAUUCCCAAAAGUAGUACCAAGUAUAUUCCGUGGCAGUUGGGAAGAAAUCAGGUGCAAUCCUCAAUUCCGUUGGAUCAGGGGCCAAGUACCAACUAUAUUGUAAGUGGGAAGAGUUUUAAUGUAAGUGGAAGUUAUUUUUUUGUUUGAGGGAACGUGGGAGUGUUAGAGUUUUAAUGUAAGUGGAAGUUACAUUUUUGUUUGAGAGAACGUGGGAGUUUUAGUUGGAAUUAACUUCUUAUUUGAGGGAAACGUGGGGAUGUAAUGGGCCCAUGAUAUUUUUUACGAAAUAAGAUAAAUGUAAAAUGCUAGGAAAAUAGAGUUGAGAGUGGGAAGGGUUGUAGAGGCUUGUUCCUGAAAAUCCCUUCUCAAAUUUAUAUAGAUAUAGAUAUUUCAAGUACUUGUCAGAAAAACACGUUUAUUCCUCCAAUUGGCUGCUAGAAAUCCAAGUGAACACAACAACGUCACUGUAAAUAAGGUAGACAAAUCGUUAUGGAAUUUUUUCAAUUAGCAGUCUAUUUUUUAUUCAUACCCUCUUAAAAAGUCCAGAACAGAGAGUUUCUGUACUCCUUUUGGCUGCACCCAAUCUCCGGCAUGGCAUAUUGGACUUUUAAUUUCAGAGAUGAUUAGAUUAGUAGACCUAUGGUAUGGUGAUUUAAUUGUCUGUAUCUUCUUACAGGAUUCAAUCAUCAACGCACAUAGCACGGGUAUUUAAACUCAUUAAAACUGAGUUUAUAUAGGAGUUUUCCUUGUACUAGUAUAUAUUUAAUUCAGAGAGUUGAUUUACACUAUGAGGUGAAAAAAAUUCAACGAGACGGUGAUUUGCGAUGUGACGUACGUGAGAUAAAAAGUAAUUGAAAAUAUAAAAAGAUGAAUUAGGAAAUUAUCAAACGAACGAACCAACGGCAAACAUUUGCGGGUGCAAAUUUCCUCGAUUUACUUGGGUGCAAUUCGUAUAUGAUGGCAUCAAAAUGUGCACUCAUUGAGUUAAACUUUUUCACUUAAAAGUGCCCAUAUUUGUCAACUCCAAUUGCUGCUGCUCGAUAUGACUCGCCAUUCUCGAAAACUCUUCUCCUGCAAAAGACAUGGUGUCUUCUUUAACCAAACGCCUCUGCUUUAUCCUCAAAAUUGCCUGUGAAACCUCUCCAAUUGAGGGGCGUUUUCUGGGUGACUUGCGCAGGCACUUAUGAGCGAUACUAGCUAAACUCCUUGCAUCGUUGGGGUUACACGUUCCGAUGAUUUUCUUGUCAAGUAUUUCAUCCACUCCAUCAGGACUCAUGCCAGCCUUCACAGCAAAAUUGCGACUAAGACAAAAUAUUUAAGUGGAAAACUCAAAAGUGAAGAGGAGAGAAGGAAGAAAAAAAACAGAAAGAUAACCAGACAGAUAAAAAAGCAGAGGCAGAGCAGAAAUAGGAUAUUCAUAGAACUUAUUACACUUACUAGAUUCACGUACUCCAUUAGAUUCUGGUGCGGGUGAAUAGCUGUGAUUAGUUCAAAAAGGAUAACUCCAAAACUGUAGAUGUCACUCUUCAUUGUGAACUUGUUUGUGGCUAUGUACACGGGAUCUAUGUACCCAUAUGUACCUUUAAGGCCUGAAUUGCGACCAUCAAAAACCUCUUCCUUCGACAACCCAAAAUCAGCAACCUAGUCAUGGGGGAAAUUAGGAAAAUAUCCCUCCAAACAUAACUAAGACAAAGGGCUGGCAAAAAGUAGACAACAAUCCUCACUGUAAUAUGCUGAUCAAGUAUCAUGCAGUAAAGACCAGCUUCAAAGCAUACAAGGCACUACUGACUUACCUUAGCUCUCAUUGAAUGAUCCAACAAUAUAUUAGCAGAUUUUAGGUCUCGAUGUAUCACGGGUGGAACCGCCUGUUGCAAGAAAUAACACGAGAUUCGAGAAUAAAAUCAUCCAACCAGGAAAAACAAUUAUUUCUUAUCAUAUUCCACAGCCUACCCCAUCAUGAAGAUAUUCAAUCCCAUGUGAUAUGUCAAGUGCAAUUUGCAGCCUUUCUUCCCAACUCAAAGGUUGUCCACCUUCAUCUGCAUAGCAAACAUACAUGGAAGAUUCAGCAUCCAAUGAACAAGAAAUGGACGCAAAAAACUCAUGAUAUGGGUCUUGAUGCAAAUUUUUACACACAUACUAAGUUGCUUGUUGUCAUAAAGUAGUUUCUCUCUAACCAUGUCAGCACGCAUACGAGUCCUAAUGGAACUGAAAAAGCACUGGUGCACAAGUACGAAUAUCGACAAGACAACAUUGAGAACCUAGUAAAUCGUGUUCCAGGUAGUUUAGCUAUUUUUCAGAGGCUGUAGAUAGGCUAGUAAUAUUUCUAGAGCACUCGUCAACAGGCAAGUAAAAUAGUAACCAACCUGAGCCAGGAAAAUGCCAAUUUACUCUAAACCAUUCUGAUUUUGGACUUUUCUGCGGCACAGGGUUUUAAUAUUUACAGAAACCACCAAAGCAAUUAAAUAAAAAGAAGGAAAAAAAGAACAGAAUUUCUAAUCUGGUUUAUCCUUUCUGCCCACUCAUGACAAACCCACAGAAGCUUCCAGGUUUUGGGUGAGUCAGAACCCAAAGCCUCUCAUUUUAAAGGUUUAUCUGCCAUGCCCAUUCAUAACCUGCACCAUGUCACAGCUACACAAAUGUAAAGAUACACACAAUUUCAUAGUGUCAUCUUCAUUUUUCACCAUAAAAGCUUCCUCUGCCAUAGAUCCCAUUCAUGUUUAUUUUUCUAUAGAGAAGUUCAUAUCAUGUUGAACCACUAACCACAAUGAUAAGAGCAUGAAAAUCAACACCAAAACUCCAUCCUGAACAAGACAUUAUCAGAUUGCAGUCAAAAUACUGCAUAAUCAAAUGUAGUUUCCAAGACAGGCACGUAUCAAUACACAAAGCUACACACUAAACUUACUGUAUAGAAGGUUGGCCAAGCUUCCAUUACUCAUGAAUUCGUAAACUAGAAUGCGUUGUCCUUUAUCCACACAAUAUCCGACCAAAUUAACCAAAUUUCGGUGGUGCAGCCUAGCCAGAACAGAAACCUGCAAGUGAAUCAGGCCAAUGUGAGUGCAGUCCAAUUUCACUGGAUUCAGGAUCAUAAUAGAUGUGAUAAAGCAAGAAUUGCAUUGAAUUGAAUGGUCCACGUUCUCAGGUCAUUUAUGUCAAACUUCCUUUAUUUUCCUUGUAAAAUGAAAUGCUGUUCUUCAUUUUGGGUAACAAGCUAAACUAUCGUGUAUUAGAUAUGUAGUAGUUACCUCUGUAUGGAACUCCUUUUCCCCUUGUUUGGAAUUGGAAGCAAGAACCUUCACAGCAACCACUUCACCUGCAGGCAUUACAGCUUUAUAGACUGGACCAAAUGAUCCUUGUCCCAGGAUAGUAGUGAAGUUCUGUGUUGCUCUUUGGAUGUCCCUAAAAGUGCACAUAAAAUAUCUCAAACUAUAAAGCAAAUAUCUAGUCUGAUGCAAGAAAUGUUAUGCAACUGUUAAUGUCAGCACCUGGUUUGUUAUACAUUACAGCCAUCUUAUACCCCCAUGACAGAUGAGGUUAAUAUUCAAUUAUGGUAUUAGACUACUCAUUAGACCUCAAAAUUUCUUAAGCAAGUAAAUCAUCAGUUAUAAAGUGCUCCCAGAAAACUAACACUAGGUAAUUGGAAGACACGUUAGACAGUGUUUCGAUUUUCCAUAGAUUCCAAGGAGGUAGCCUGGAAAUUUCACAAAAUCAUACACUGGCAUAGGAGAUAAUGAAGAAUUUGCAACUUCCAUAAUAACAAUUCUUAAUAGAACAGGACGCAUGAAACUCUUACGCUAAGUCAUGUAAAAAAAAAAAAACCAAAGAGAUAGGAUCCAUUAAGCAAUGAUAAUUUUUCAUGUUUAGAGCAUUACAGCCAGAAAUUCCAACUUUGAGUUUCUAUACUUUGAUAAAUCACAAACGGAUAGAAAGAUUCAUCACAUCACUUUGAACAUAAAUGUAUCAAUCUAAGAAGAGCAGAAAUUUUUUGAAGUUAAGAGUUUUAACAUACUUGUAAGAGUAUGUUGGUAUGCCAGAUGGAGAAGCAAAUCUAUCUUUACUGUGGUGAUUCCACCAAGAAUGCUGCAAAUUUUUUGAAUUAUGCUCCGGUUCCUUAACGACUACAGAAGUUGAGAGAGAUGCACUAUUGUCAAUGCUUGUCCCAACUCCAUUUGUACGGAUAGGAAGAGUAGCUACAGAGCGCUCAUUUGCACAACGCCGAAAAUUAGCACGUCUUUUGUACCAGCGAACACCAAAAAACACCAGAGAUGCAAUAAGAACACCAAAAGCAAGACCAACUGAUAUUCCAAUGAUAACUAAAUCAGCUUUGUGAACCAUUCUUUGGUCCGUUUCCAGUGUCAAACAAAGACAGCAUCUUGGAGAGUACCGUGCAAUGGAUCACUGUCAGGAAAGAAGUAAAUUAUCAAAUGAAGUGAAUGGAACAGGCUCUUUCCUAUAUAAUCAAGGACAUAACAAGUCAUCUAACUUUAGUCCUACAGAAGAGAUUCCAUGCCAAUUGCUGCAGUUUAAAAAAAAAAACCUCUAGCAAUGCUUAAGCCUUUUCAAUAUGGCAGUGUUCUUAGGGAGGGAGCAUUCUUGGUAUAAUUGGCAUCUUUUUAAUUUUAUUCUUUCCGCACACGCAACAGAGGAUGACAUAACUGGACAAGGGAGAAGUAUAUUUUUCACUAAUUGGCACCGCAAAGAUUAGUCCGCACUAAGUUUAUUUCGCUCAAAUAGAUAUUUUGACACAGCUUCCAAACAAUGAUCAUGGCAACAUAAAAAUUCUUGCAUCUCAAUGCAGCCAAAAAAAAAUAAAGAAUCUCAAUUACACACACUACUAGAACAUAAAAAGUUCUUGCAAAAGCACAUCUAGAAAUUGUAAUUUACUGACUGCAAUUGGAGUAAGUAAAUCAAUAGGGGUAUCCAUUUAGUAGCAUAAAGGCACAAUCUCAUACUAGAAUAUAAAACUAUUAGCAUACGCUUGAAUCAAUCAUGAGUUCUCAAUACAGAAGUCAAAAGUGCUUCCAUAGGCUAAUUUUCAACAAUACCCAAUGCAGCAAGUCAUCAUACUUUCUUUCAAGCAAAGCUCUUCUCCCCAGUACCCCACCUUGGUUGCCCAAUGAACUGCAAACCUAACUAAACAAACCACAAGGAUCAAUCUAAACGGAUGUAAAGCUUAAUCUGCAAACAAUAAUGGUCUACCACGUCCAUGCUCAAGUUCCCACUUUCAACCGAUACUAAAAGUAACGCACAAUCAGCUUUUGUUAUUUCUGAUUAAAAUUGAUGUCAUAUUGCAGUGUCAGGACCAAGUCCUGAAGUAAACUUGCUUCAACAAUUUCAGGCGGGAUGGCAAAAUGAGGCAAUCUUUCAAAUAAUUCUACCGUUUAGCUCAAAAGGGAAUUUGUGCAAUUCAAUCAAUGAAAAAUUGAGUUAAACAAUAAAAUAAUUCCGAGGCACAAACUAUUUCGAAAAAUUCUACAAAAGAGGUACUACUACAAGGGCCUUGUAAGGUUUUAAAACAACGAAACCCCCUUUUUCAAACAGUCUAAACAACAAAAUUUUACCUGGGCGGUAAGGAAAGAAAGUUGUUAACAUGCCAAUGGAUUAGAAACCCAAAAGGAAAAAUAAAUUCCCAAGACAUCAAACUUAGCUAUGAAAGCAAAGACUGCAGACAUUAAUUUUUUAAAGAAAUCCAACAAGGCACACUUCCAAUCUCACCCAAAACCCACGAUAAAAUAUAAAUAUUAAAAUAAAGAAAAACAAAAAAAAAACCCAUGAAACUUGAACAACAGGGGAAGCUAACCUGAUCAGCUGACAUGCCACUGUGUCAGCAGCUUGAUGUGCAACCUGAAUUUCUUUUCAAAGCAGAACUGAAGUCUUGGCUCAUGAGCACGGGAGAUAAGAGUAAAGUGCAAGAGAAGGAUUUAACAAGAAAUCGGAAAAACUUUGGGAACAGUUGAUCCGAGAAAAGUAUAUGGAAUGCUAGUGCUAUGACCGAAUUUGAGCUGUUGGUAAAAAACUGUAAAGGACCCUAUAACACCCCCACCCCUCCCCACUCCCCCACCAAAAAAAAAAAAAAAAACACGGUAUUUGGUACCAGAGGAAAGUAAGAAAUUAUUGAAUUGGGUUUGGUGGGACUCGGUCCUCGGUCUCCUCCGCUUCUCGUCCAAAUGCCGAUUUUGGGUCAUGGACAUGUCCGCCGCUGGUCCUCUUAUCUAAUUGUUCUUUGUUUGAGUAAUUUGGAUUUUUCACUUUUAAUCUGUCCUGUCUGUUGUCUCGAUCUCAAUCAUUACCCAACCAUUGAUACUACUACUGAAAUCAUUGGGUCUGUUUGGAUUGUAAGUUAUUUGGGAUUAUUUGGGAUAUUUUUACUGUAGCACUUUUUGUGAUGUGAUGUAUGUGAGAUGAAAAGAUAUUGGGAAGAUAAAAAGGUGUAUUGGAAAUUGUAAAGACGAUGUAAGCAAAUAAAAUUGGGGAAAUAUGAAGCAAUCCAAACAAACAAUAUUCUAUUGCAUAUAUUACUUAAACCAAUAUGUCCGAAUAACUUAGUUUUAAUAACAACGGUAAUAAAUUUAGAUCGUAGAAACAUAGUGGUUAAUCAAACUAUAAAUAAACAAAGUAAAUAAAAGUACUGGUUACUUUAUUUCUUGGGAUAUACUUUUAAAUAUUAAAUAAUUCAAAAUUCUCGCUCGCUAAUAUCUUUUUAAUUUGUCAAAUUGAUAGCAAUAUACACUUUUGAUUAUGGUGGACAUAUACCGGUUUUUUACACUAUACAAUUUAUUUUGAAUUUUCUAAUAGUGUAGAUAAAUAAAAAUUAAUGAAAUUAUAAGUAAAAGAUAAUUAUAAUAUUAUAAUAAGUAAAGAAAUUAGUAAUACUAAUAGGAAAGUAAAAUGAAACAGUAACAUGAGAGAAGUAAAAAGUAAAUAAAUUUGAUACAUUUAAAUGUAUAUCACAUUUAAUACAUUUAAAUAAUACAUUUAAAUGUAUAUCACAUUUAAUAAUAAGUAAAUAAUUCAUCACUUAUUUUUGCGAUCAAGUUUUGUCUAAAAAAUUUAAUAUUACUUAAUUAAUUCAGAUAUUUAAUUUUUAAUUAUCAAUUGCAUUUAAAUAUAUUAAGAUUUGAAUCUACUAAAUUUAUGUGUUGAAUUAAGAUCCAUCAAAUAGGAUCUUACUAAAUAUAUUCUCCAUAUACACGUACCAUGCCUAGACUACAAGAGCAUUUGCCAAAACUCUCUCCUUAGCGGGAAAAAGUAAAAGAAAAAACUGCCGACUCUUGGGUAAUAAUGAUGCAAUUACACAUGUCUGGUCUGGGAAUUAAUGAAAAGCAAAAAGGUUGUUUACAACACAAAUGUAACUUUCUUGCACGUUCAACCCAAGCUUUGCAUUUCCCACAUUUCGGAUUACUGUCUUGAAGAAAUCGCUGACUACUACUACUAGCUUUUUGUCCCACGUGUGCGCCAGCAUCAACUUAUUUCGAGGGAGAAAAAAAAAAAGAAAAAGAAACACACACACACACGCACGCACGCGCGCGCACCCACAUAUAUGUAUAGACCCAGAGGAAGAGUCUUCCUCACCGUCACUCGAAAAUAAGGAGUGUCCGGAGAAGAAUGGAAGGGUUAAAAAAAAAGGGAAAAAAUUUAUUGAACAUUAUAGUUUGGUAAAAACAAGAAGAUAACCAAAGGAAAAAUGUUAAUUACUGCUGUGAGUUACAUUGGAAAAAAAAAGGUCAUACUCAAAACUUAUAUGAUUUAAAAAUUACUACUUACAAAAUUUCAUUGUUAGUUUCAUACUAAAAACAUCAUAAUGACUUUAAUUCUUACCUUUUAUCUAUACAUUUUUUUUGUCAAAUACCUUUAACCGGUACAUUGAGCGAUUUAAUAUUUGUCCACACUUGUUAUUAUUAUGUGCUUAUUGGUAACAACCAGAUGCACCAAAUCUUAGAAAAAGAUAUUGUGCCCCAAAAAAGAAACAUAACCUAAACUAUGAGGUUGGGGAGAUGGGUCGGAUAGGUGGUACAGAAACAAGAAAUGUGAGUGAGAAAUCUUGAAUUCAAAAUAUUUCACUGAUAGUAAAAAAAAGGCAAUAAAUAAAUACGAGGAUCUAAUAUAUUAUUUGGUAUAGCAUGAGGAUAUCUCCUAUUUUAAUUUCUUUUUAGAAAUUCCAAAUUUAAAGGUUUUAGCCACCCAAGGUGAUUGGAAGGAGCGUGACUACCAUUUAAAAAAAAUAAAAAAAGGGGACACACGGCAUAUCAUAUUUUUUUCAUUUAGAAUGAAAAAUUCGUAAAUUUUCACAAGUGAAUAAAGUAUUAGUAAAACACCUAAAAGAAUUUGUUUGGAUAGGGUUUAUUUUGAUAAUUUAUUUGAGAUAAUUACUAUAACACUUUUUGUGAUGUGAUGUAUAUGAAAUAAAAAGGUGAUUGAAAUUUGUGAAGCAAAUUAUUUUAUCUAAAAUCAAGGCAAUCCAAACAAACUUACUACUAUUACUGGAUUACACAUAGACGAGGUAGACUAAUUAACAAAAACGCCUCCGUCUAAACAAUGGGGGAGUGGCAUAUCGGUCAAUGGUUUGGCUUGAACUUGGUUUGAUCGAAUUCGAGCUGAGUCUCGAGCUACUCGAUUAUUAUUCGAGUUGAGUUUUGAGCCAAUAUUUUGAGGCUCAUGACUUGUCGAGCUACUCGUCGAGCCAGGGUGUAUUUAAAUAAUAUAUAUAUUAUAAUUAUAAAAUGACCGUUAUGGGUAAAAUUUAUAUUGAAUUUACAAUAUACUCUUCUUUAUAAUAAAAUUUCAUAAGGGUAAAAGUGUACAUUUUUCAAGUCGAGUCAAGAAGGUUGAUUAGACUCGACUUGAUAUGACUUGCCUAAAGGUCGAGUUUUAUCGAGUCAAGUUUCGAGUUUAAAGGGAAUUUCUCAAGUCAAAUCUCGAGUAUCGAUUUUUUGGACUCAAUCGAGCUCGAGUCGAGCUCACGCUUAGAUACAUAUGAGUCGGGUCGAGCUCGAGUGGCUCGAUUACAUCCCUAAUGGCACCAUCAAGAAAGAGACGGCGCCUCCGGGAAGCACCAGAUUACUACCUGCUUAAAUAUCACGUGAGAAACAGAUCAAGUCACGUGACUGAUAACCUUAAUUAUACCUAACAAAGACGAAUCCUCACGUGCCUCUAUCCGCAAGUACAACUCACGGAACAGGCUACAGCCUACAGCCAAUCAACUCUUGUUUCUCCGACAUUGCCAUGAAACUCACGCGUCCUUAACCAGACUAGGAUUCUAUUUUCACCAUAAACGCUAAAUGCCCAAAAACUUUCCAUGACUGUCUGAACCUUGCGCUCUUCCCUCGUUCUUCCAUUGUCCCAACUCUAGCCCAACUACAGCCUUAAAACUAUCCGAGGAAGUUUCUCACAUGUGUCACUGUCCCUUUUGACUUGUCUUUGUUCGUUACUCUCAUGUAAGGUUUGCUGUAUCUGCUCAUGGUGUGAUAAGAGAUGAAGUGGGUGGCACUGAAAGGGGAUGGCAAGAUUGCGUUCAAGAUUAAGUCAAGACUGAAGUGGGUUGGUUUGGUUGGGCUGGUUUUAUCUACUUUCUCUAUCCUUACACACUUUUUACUCGCUAGAUAUACAGAUGGGGGCGUUUCGGAAUACCAGUCUUCUAUCACAAUUUUUUCUUGGAGACCCAUUUUUGAGAAUGUAGAUCUUUCUAAUAAUGUACUGUGCUUAGACCCUUUCAAAGAUCUGAACUUUAUUCUGUAUUUUGCUGUUUGAUUAGCUGUGUUAUGUUUUUAUUUUUCUUCUUUUUUUGGCUUUUUUUUUUUUUUGCUGCUUGGAUUUGUUUGUCUGGAACAGCAGCUGCUUGAUUGAUGAUUAUUGUUUUUCAGUUUCGGAACUGAUAUUUUAGCUAACUAUGAGAAUCUUAUGACCAAUUCUAGACUAGUCGAGUUGUUUUACGAGUUAAUCUUUUAUGAUGCAUUCUGUUUUAGCGUGGAUUUAGUGGGGUCUCCUCAAAGGUUAUUCUUUUUUUUUUCUUUUCGACGUUAAUGUUCUUCUUUAUUCCAGUUGUCUACUUAUACUCUUUUUUCCUAGGAUUCUGUUAUUCUUUUUGACAAAGAUUUUCAUCUUAUAUUUGGUUCGUAUGUGAUCAAUUUAUUUAUGAAUGUUCUACUUUGCCUUGUACUUAAGCUGGUUAGUAUGCUCCUAUUGGGGGGGUGGGGGUGGGGUAGUUUGCCAUAAUGUUGUGGUUUUAAGUUGAAAUUAAAUAUAACUCCGGAAGGGAUUCUGAAAAAUGCCUUUAAAGUCUGUCUCUUGAGAAAUCUUUCUCGCUGAACAACAGAGAAUUCGAUUUUUUUUUUUUUUUUGUAUCCCCAGCUUCACGAAUUCGACAUCAAAGUUUUAUGUGAAAACAAGAGAAAGUUUCUGGCUGCAAUAUCUAUUGGGAGGAGCAGUGAGAGGCAACCUGUUUUGUGCAUCCCCAGUUGUAAUGCUUAGCUUGUAGGCUUGUUCCACCCUUUCUGAAUCAAUACGUAAAUUAAACUUGACCAUCAUUGUUUGCAGCAUAUGCCAAAAUGCUGUCAUGCUGCAACUAUUGAUGCAAACAAACACUGUAGUUCAAUCUUUAUUAAUCUAUCUGUCUCUCUUAAAUGAAUAUGCUGCAUUGAUGAGUAUUAUAAGUGACAAUGAGGAUUGAGAAAAAGCCAUAGGCCAACUAUGGAGGAGAAGGAGAGAAUUUGGAAGCAAAGAAUAAGUAAAGCGAUAGGCCAACUAUGGUGGAGAAGGGAGAGAAUUUGGAGACAUCUAGUCUAAAAGAAUAAGUAAGCUGACAUCAAUUUCUUUAAAAUCUACUCAAAAGAGUCAAUUUGAUAGGAAUCAAUUCCAUACUUAUGAUGGAAAACCAGUAAAGAGGACAAAUUUCUUUUUCUUUUUCUAAUUUUAACUUAAAAACACAACAUUUUGGUAAACAACCUUGGGGAGAGUCUCCUUUUUGUGAAUUGUGAAUACCCAUUCUUUAGAUUCUACAUCUGUUGCAUGAACUAAUUUUGCUAUAGCAUUUCUUGCUUCUGCAGAAUCCUUUAUACCAGAGACUUUGGGGACCAGUUAGGCUUCUUGAAUCUUUACAUCCCUAUGCAAACCCCAGAGAAAAUUAUGCAGGUAAACCAUCACCAUCUUUACAACAAUCUGGCCCGCCAUAAGGGCCUCAAACUGGUAAAGAGAAUUUAGACAAGCAUCUCUUCAGUCUGCAAUUCGCACACAAGCUGUUGAAAUCUAAAGUAAAAUUUAAAAAAUACUGGAAUCAUUGUUGCAUUUUAUGCAUAAAGCUGUUGGUUAUUGCUGUUGUUCUUUUUAACUCACAAAAUGAUCAGAUACACUUGCAGCGUGAUUGUCUAUUCAAGCUUCAGCAACAAAGGGUUUUCCUUUUUUCUUUUUGGAAAAUUUCUUCCACAUAAUUGGCGACGUGUACAUUUCCUUUUCAAGUCAGAAAUUGCCUCUACUAUGGCCUAUGUCGUAAUGGGGUUUUGAAAACCUUUUAGUUGGUAAUUGUAGUAACAUAGUGAUUCUGCUGUAUAAAGGGCUUUGGCGUCCCAAAUACAAAAUAGUCCCUCAUAUUGUUUGUAUUUGUGGAUUUUGAAAGGUUGGUGCUCCCAUGAAAUCAACUGGCACCAUUCAAUCUAGAUAAGUGCCUCCAAUGUUGCAUGACCAUAGGUGUCAGAAGGUUGGAAGUGUGUAAUCUUGCCUAAGUUACAUCACAACUACCCAAUGAGUCACUGUUAGUGUCUCUAGCUAGGGAGUGCUUUCUCUGUUCAUCAUUUGCAGUUUCCUUAGGCGGUUUGAGGUGUGAAAUGAAAUGGGUGGUAAUCCUUUUGUGAAAUAGUUUAAGAUUCACUAUAACAUACUUGAUAUGUAACUUGAACUUUGUUUGACCCAGAAAAGUAUCAAAGAUAAGCUAAAUAUUGGUUUUUACAGGCUAGCAAAAACUGAAUCUACAUGAAAUUCUCAUUCUUAUCUUGUCUUGUUAUUGUGACAGCUCCUAUUCAUAAAACAAGUGGAUUCAUUUUUGUACGGAUACGAGGCGGUUUUCAUGAGAUCAGGAACUCGGUAAGGAUGCUGCAUGCAAACGGAAAUGUUGCCUUGGAAUUGUGCUUAUUUUAUUAACUCAAAUUUUCAAAAGAAAGGCAUGCUGUUCAAAGGUCUUUAUUUCUGGCAGAUAUGUGAUGCUGUUGUAGUUUCUCGUCUCCUCAAUGCAACAUUAGUUAUUCCUGAACUUCAGUCCACUACAAGCAGCAAAGGAAUCAGGUUCACUUAAUGCGUAUUGUAAAGGAGCUAAAUUAUAGGAUGGUUAUUUGUGUGUCAUGCAUGAGUUACCAUGAUCAAAGCUGAAUCAGAGUGUUCUUUGUAUGGUCCAUGCAGCACUCAGUUCAAGAGUUUUGCUUACCUCUAUAAUGAGGAUCAGUUCAUGGCUGCUCUAGCAAAGGAUGUCAAAAUUGUCAAAACCUUACCCAAGCAUCUAAAAGGAGCAAGGAGGAAAAAAGAAAUUCCUUCUUUUAAGGUUUCAAAUUCUGCAUCGCCACAUUUCUAUGAACAUCAUGUUCUUCCAGUCUUGAGUAGGCACUCAGUUGUUGAACUUGUUAUAUCUGAAGGCGGAGGCUUGCAGGCAUGUGCAAAUACAUUUCAUUUUCUAAGAUUUGAGUAACAACUUUUGUAGCUUGCACCAUGAACAUGACUAUGAAGUAUGAUAUUUAUGUCAUAUGUUUUCUUGGUAAAUGAUACAUCCGAGCACCCUUAUUUUUUUUUCUUUUUCUGCCAUUUAAGGACAUAAAAGUUGUUCUAAUGUUCGCAGAAAUUUGGCUCAUAUUCUAUCUGAAUUUCUCUGUGAACCUGGAUUUCUGCUAUUUUAGUUGGUUGACCGGGUUUAUUACUUCAAUUCUAUCUUUGACAUUGAAUGACUUUAGAGAAUAAAAUGUUGGGGAUCAUGUGCCAAAAGACUAGUACAGGAAUGAAGUUAACACAUUAACUUGAAUGAUAAAUUUCUUGCCCUAAAAACCAUUGUAGCUCUACAUAAGACAAAGCAACAGAACCAUUUGAGAAAUAGUGUUGAGUGUUGACCUUUUUUUUAUAUAUGAUUUUAUCCAGGCAAUACUUCCUCCUCAUCUUGAAGAGUAUCAGAGGCUGAGAUGCAGGGUUGCUUAUCAUGCUUUGAGUUUCAGAGAGGAGGUUGAGGAACUUGCUACAAAAGUUCUGGAUAGGUGUGCUACUUCACACUUUUCUUGGUGUCAGAAACACAUGAUACUUUCUGCUUAUUUUUUGGUAUUCUUGCAGAUUAAGAGCUUCUGGACGGCCAUUUAUUGCCUAUGAUCCAGGGAUGACAAGAGAGGCUCUGGCAUAUUAUGGCUGUGCUGAACUCUUUCAGGUAUCAAGUAUAAAUUCCUGUAACAUCAUAAGCAUAUGAAAGACCUUAAGAGUCCCAAAGCUUUAAGAGCAUCCCAUUUUUAUGUGUGGAUAUUUGUUGUUCCUAGGAUGUGCACACUGAACUCAUUCAGCAUAAACGGUCAUGGAUGAUCAAACGUGGGAUCAUCAAGGGAAAUCUCUCUGUAGAUUCAGCAAAGCAGCGGCGCAAUGGUUUGUGUCCUCUUAUGCCAGAGGAGGUAUUUCUCCAUCCUCACCAUCAAUAUGAAGUCUUCAAGUGUUUCUAAAUAUGCUUUAUGUACUUGUCCCAUCAACAUGGAACUCUAAUUCCCCCUUCCUUCCUUGGAGCAUUAACUUUUCUCUGUAGCCUGUUUAACAUAAAAUUUCUUUGGAAAGAUUUGUUGCUUUCUUGGAAUUGGGGAGUAAUGUUGAUGGCACAGGUAGUGAAUUUUCAAGAUCAAAAUUUACCUGCCUGCAACCUCAUUGUCUUUUCCUCAGGAUAAGGGUUUGUCUGAUAGUUUUAUAUCCAAGUAAGACUAUUCAACUUGCAUUAUGAUUGCCUUCUUGUUUCUGGGAACUUGGGAGAGGACUAAGUGGCCGCAAGACUCAAAAUGAGAAUUGCUACUUUUUUCCUGCUUUAGGAAAGCAAUACUUCAUUAGUUCGAUUAAAUGAGGAGAAAGUCACCUGAUCUUGUGUAGCCGCAUUUAGCACAUGUUAGAAUUGGAUAGAGUAGGCUCACACAAGACUAAUUUAGCAAUUGAUCUGAUAUGAUUUUAGAACAAAAUCAUGAUGUGACACCUAUUGCUCUGCAGGUUGGCAUUCUUCUUCGAGCAUAUGGUUACUCGUGGGACACAAUAAUUUAUGUUUCUGGUGGCGAGGUCUUUGGUGGGCAGAAGAAGCUGAUUCCACUCCAUGCCAUGUUUGAAAAUGUUGUUGACAGAACCUCCUUAAGCACGUCAUGGGAGUUGAAUAAAGUAUAUGGUCGUGAGGCUAAUCUUGAUGACAAAAUUUCUAGGGCUCCACCAGUUAAGGAAGAAAUAAAAUUUGAAGCAUGGAAAACUUCAGGUCCACGACCUCGGCCACUACCGCCACCAC
rnacentral:lncRNA from 1 species